rnacentral:lncRNA from 1 species
UCUCUACUCCUUCAGGGGUAGUGGUAUGGACUGCGUACAUUUUACCCUCCCCAGACCCCACUAUGUGGGAAUAUACUGGGUUUGUUGUUGUUGUUGUUGUUGAAAAAAAAAACAAUAUUAGACUUCACAACAAGGCAUUAUCACUCUUUAAAUCAGUUUACUCCUGUAAAAACGGAAUCUAAAAGCUAUAUUUCCACUACUUUACCAUAAUCAUCAAGCAAAUCAAUCUUCCUUCAGGAAUUAAAUACACAAAUUGACAGCAGAAUCUCAAAUAAUCUUCAAAAUGCAAAACACAAAAAAAGUGAAAGCAAAGAGGAAAUAGAAGGAGAAAGUAAAGCAUAUAUACGGAGCGAUUUCACGGCCAACACUUCAUGAAUACUUAUUAGUUUAAGCUAUUUGUCUACUAUUAGUUUAACCACUUAUAACGCGGAAUCUAAAAGCUAUAUCUCCACUACUUUGCUAUAACCAUUAAGCAAAUCAAUAUUCCUUGAGAAAUUACACAAAUUAGCAACAGAAUAUCAAAUAUUCUUCAAAAUGCAAAACACAAAAAAAAAUUGAAAACAAAGAGGAAAUAGAAGGAGAAAGUAAAGCCUAUCUACAGAGAGAUUUCACGGCCAACAUUUCCUUCAGGAAUACAAUUAGUUUAAGCUAUUUGUCAACUAUUAGUUUAAGCACUUAUAAUGUGGAAUCUAAAAGCUAUAUCUCCACUACACUACUUUACUAUGACCAUUAAGCAAAUCAAUAUUCCUUGAGAAAUUACACAAAUUAGCAACAGAAUCUCAAAUUUUCUUCAAAAUACAAAUACAAAAAGUGAAAGCAAAGAGUAAAUAGGAGAAAGUAAAGCACAUAUACGGAGCGAUUUCACGGCCAACACUUCCUUCAGGAAUACUAUUAGUUUAAGCUAUUUGUCUACUAUUAGUUUAAGUCGCUUAUAACGCGGAAUCUAGAAGCUAUAUCCCCACUACUUUACUAUAACCGUUACGCUAAUCAAUAUUCCUUGAUAAAUUCCACAAAUUAUCAACAGAACCUCAAAUUUUCUUCAAAAUACAAAUACAAAAAGUGAAAGCAAGGAGGAAUAAGAAGCAGAAAGCAAAGGCACAUAUACCGAGCAAUUUCACGGCCAAUACCGCUAGUAGAACCAGUAACGACACAAGUAAGGUCAUUGAUAGGAGGAAGAGGCAUAGGGUUGUGCAAAUGACUCGCUAAUAUCCUUUGAAAAAGCAUUUCGUAAACCAAAUAGAACCAGCCUCGCAGCCAUUCCAUCCAUCCUAAUGCCUCCUUCUUCAAUGGCGCCUUAGAUGCUUCACUCGCACUUGUAUUAUUCUUCUUCUUCGUCUCCAACUCAUUCGCCAUCUUUCCUUUUCUCGUUGAUUCUAAGCAAACAGAUUCUCUCCGCCUUUGUGGAGUUUCCCUUUCCUUCUCUAUUUCUUUAUACGUACUAGCUUUUUGGCAUUUUCUUUUUACGAGUAGCAUCGUGCUAUAGUACCCGUGCGUUAAAUUAUGGAGUAAGUAAUUAUGUGUCAUAUUUUGAUAGAACUCAAAAAUAUAUAAAAAAAAAAAUAAAGAUUUAAUCAUUUUUAUCAAAUUAGUUUUUAUUAAAAAAAUAUAAUACUGCUUAUUUUUAAUUAAGUAGAAUUUUAUAAAUAAAAUUAAUAAAGAUUAAAGUUAAAUUAUAUCUUUAAAUAGUUACUAAUUAAGAAAAGGUAAUAUUUUUCGAGAUGGACAAAAAGAAAACAGCGAUACAUAAAAUAGGAUAAAGAAAAUAUAUAUUUUUAACUUUAAUAUUAUAAAAUUAUAUAUAUUUUUCUAAAUUUCAUGUCAAGUCAAUAUUAAAGAAACAUAUAAAAAAUGAAAAAAGUAUAUUAUUUUUUUCCGUGAUUUUCGGGUAUCGCUUUGUGAAUCCGACUAGCUGUAUCCAUCGGGUCUCGCUGUUUCAAGGCGGGUCCACCACAGUUAAUUUCACGAGGCCCUAGAGAUGGAGCCGAUUUGUAAUGCCUCCAGUGGUCCUGCCGGGGCUCGAACUGAUAACCUGAAGAACUUUGUCCUCGUGCCUUUACCAGCCGAGCUACCCCUCAGGGUAUAUAUUUGGUUAUAAAAAUAGAAUGAAAUAAUCUUCACAUAAAUUACUUCAUUCUUUGGUUGAUUUUUCUCUUUUUCAUAUAAAAUAUAAUAUUAGAAAUUUACACAUUAUUUUAUAUAAAACAAAAGAUGAAAUAGCUAAAUUUUGUACAAUUAAUAAAUGCCUAAUUAAUUCAUGAAUUAAUAAGAUCUUAACUUUAAUCAAUAAUCUAGUGCCUUUAUAGAUCAUAGAUAGAUCAACCAUCCCUUUUUUAUUUGUUGUCAUCCACUUGUUAUGGGAUUUUGAAACAGUUUAGCUUCCUCCGCUUGUUUUUACUUGUCAUAAAAUUUUUAAUUGUUUUAUUUGUCAUUUUUGACGUAUCAAUACAAAACUUCUUUUUUUCUAUUUUUACCCUUUGUAUUAAUUAUUUUUUCUUCAAAUUAAUUUCAACACACAAUGUAAUAUCAUUUAAUAUGAAUAUUAUGGUAAAAUAACUACAUUAUUAAUUAUUUUUCUUAAUGGGUAUAUCAAGUCAAAUUAUGAAAAGUAAACGCAAGCGGAGGGGUGUAAAAUAACAAUUAAUAUAUGCCUAAUUUUGAAAUUUUGUAUAAUUAAUAUACGCCUAAUUAAUUCAUGAAUUAAUAAGAUGUUAACUUUAAUCAAUGACUAAUGCCCCUAUAAAUCAUAGAUUCGUUCAACCAUCCCUGUUUAAUUAUUGUCGACCCACGUGUUAUGAGAUUUUGAAAUUGUUUAGCACACCAUCCUUUUAUAAAAUAAUUUCCUUGGUUGUCUGAUGCUCACUAACAAUGCACAUACAAUAUUUUAAAAUUAAUUAAUUAUUGUUAUAAAAUAAAGAUAAAAUAUUAAUAUCAAACUUUAUUUAACAGAGGAUGAUAUGGAACAGUUUCAGCUUAUUGAGGACAUGACCCUAGAUAGGAAGGUAUAGAGGUCGCGGAUACGGGUAGAAGGCUAGAGCGCGUGCGGGGGUUGUAGCAAGUAGUUAGAAGAGCUAAUGUAUAUCCGAGUUAGUAAUUCUAGGACUGUAUCCAUAUGUAUGAGCCCCUAGUCAAGAGGGUUUGGGGGUGGCUGGUGUCUCUAGUUUGUGAGUGUAGGCUACUACUAGGUGGGUGUCGUUUUUCGGAUGCCCUAUUUCGUAUCUCUUAUUUUCAUAUUGCGCUUAUUUACCUUAGUUAGUAUUGCUCUAAUUUCUAUUUUAUUUUAUUUUAUUUUAGUAUAUCUUAUUACUUUUAUGCUAUGACAUCCAUCAUGUUUCAUGUGACAUUAUGCUUUUAUUUACUAUUCUCUAUCUUGAGCCGGGGGUCUAUCGAAAACAGCCUCUCUACUUCCUUGGAAGUAGCGGUAUGACCUGCGUACAUUUUACUCUCCCCAGACCCUACAUUGUGGAAAUACACUGAAUUUGUUGUUGUUGUUGUUGUUUAACAGAGGAGAGAACUAGAGAGAAUUUUAGUUGUAUAUUUGUUACUACUUAUGUAUAUAUAAAAUGUACAAAUGGUGCCUAUUUAUAGAUACCAUACUUAAUUUCUAAGAUCACCAAUCUUUUAGUUUCUAAGUACACCAAUCUUGACUUCAAGUUGGUAAGUUGAUCAAGUAUGUAUGAAUUCAAAUCCAAAUUGAAUACCAACUUUUAGUCUUCAAAUCCAACUUGAAUACCAAUUUUGGUCUUCAAAUCUAAUUUGAAUACCAACUAUUAUUUCUAAGAGAAAUUUUAAAGGAAAUAGGAUGUACAAUAACGGUUUGUAAUACGUUUUGUUUGCUGCCUCAUUAAAAACCUUAUCAGAAAAAUCCAGUGGGAUAAAACCUUGGUUAAGGAAAAAAGAGUGCAGUGCGUAUAUACUCCUCCUGAUAAGGCUAUCACUUAAUUUCUAGGAGACGACGCAUCCCAAUCUUGUAUCUCAACUUCUCAAAGGUUAAUGUUGGCAAUGCUUUAGUGAACAUAUCUGCUAGAUUAUCGCUUAAAUGAAUUUGUUGAACAUUUAUUUCGCCUUUCUUUUCAUGAUCAUGAGUGAAAUUUUUUUUUGGUGAAAUGUAUUUUGUUCUGUCUCCUUUAAUGUAACCUCUCUUAAAUUGAGUUAUACAUACAUCAUUAUCUUCAUACAAUGUAGUUGGAAUAUCUUUAUUCGAAGGAAAUCCGCACAUUUCCUGAAUAUGUUGAGUCAUUGAUCUCAACCAAACACACUCUCGGUUCACUUUAUGAAUGGCAAUGAUUUCUGCAUGAUUUGAAGAAGUUGCAGCUAAUGUUUGCUUCAUUGAACGCCAUGAUAUAGCUGUGCCACCAUAUGUAAAUAAAUAACCCGUUUGAGAUCGAGCGUUAUGUGGAUCAAAUAAGUAUCCUACAUCUGCAUAACCAAUCAUUUCUAACUUGGAUUCAUUUGAAUAAAAUAAUCCCAAGUCAAUAGUUGCCCGAAGAUAUUUGAGUAUGUGCUUGACACCAUUUCAAUAUCUUUUAGUUGGGGAAGAGUUGAAUCUUGCCAAUAAACUUAACGUAAAAUAAAUAUCUGGUCGAGUAUUAUUGGCAAGAUAUAUUAGUGCCCCGAUCGCACUAAGAUAUGGAGUUUCAUCACCAAGAAGUUUUUCAUCUUUUCCUUGAGCUCAAAAUGGAUCUUGGUUUACUUCAAGCGAUCUCACAACCAUUAGGGUAUUCAAUGGAUGUGAUUUAUCCAUGUAAAAUCUCUUUAAAAUCUUUUCAGUGUAUGUUGAUUGAUGAACAAAAAUUUCAUUUGUCAAAUGCUCAAUCUGUAGGCCGAGACAAAAUUUUGUCUUUCCUAGAUCUUUCAUUUCAAAUUCUUUCUUCAAACACUCAACAACUUUUGAAAGCUCUUUGGGAGUGUCAAUGAUAUUCAAAUCAUCAACAUAAACAGCUAUUAUAGUAGAUUCAGAUUCAGACCUUCUUAUAAAAACACAAGGACAAAUCGGAUCAUUUUUGUACCCGUCUUUUAACAAAUAUUCACUAAGACGAUUAUACCACAUCCGUCCUGAUUGUUUCAAUCCAUAUAAGGAUUUUUGAAACUUUAUUGAGCAAGUUUCUUGCGAAUUUUUAUAUGUUUUAGAUACUUUGAAGGCCUUUGGAAUUUUCAUAAAAAUACUGUUGUCCAAUGAGCCAUACAAAUAGGCCGUGACAACAUCCAUUAGGCGCAUAUCAAGCUUUUCAUGAACUGCUAGAUUUAUUAUAUAUCUAAAGGUAAUUCCAUCCAUCACAGGAGAAUAUGUCUCUGCAUAGUCAAUGUCAGGCCUUUGCGAAAAACCUUGUGCCACAAGUCGUGCUUUAUAUCUUACGACUUCACCAUUUUUAUUUUACUUUCACACAAAAACCCAUUCAUACUUCACUGGCUUGACACCUUCAGGUGUUCGAACUAUUGAUCCAAAAAAUUCACAUUUUUCAAGUGAAGUUAAUUCCGCUUGGAUUGCAUCCUUUCAUUUUGGCCAAUCAUUUCUCUGUCUACAUUCAUUGACAAAUAUUGGUUCCAAAUCCUCAUCUUGUUGCAUUAUUUCAGUAGCAACAUUAUAAGCAAAAAUAUUGUCAACCACAAUAUUAUUUUGAUUCCAGCUAUUUCUCAUCGAGACAUAACUUAUUGAGAUUUUAUUCUCAUUAGUUUCAGGUAUUUUAACCUCCUCAGUGGUCUUAUCAUUUAUUAGAUCUUGAGGCUCCUUUUGAGCGACUGUCAUCAUACCGUGAUCAUUUUGAUCAUCUAUUUAUUUAUUUCGAGGAUUUUUAUCCUUGAAAUCGAUCUGUCUAAGACGUUUCAAACGUGGCUUAGAUUCAUUUGCAUUGACCACUUAUCGUAUCGGGACAUCAACUCGAACUGGAAUAUUCACAGAUGAAAUAUAAAAUUUAGUAACCCUUUGAAGGUUAGUAAAUACAUCCAGUAGUUGAUUUGCAACAUUUUGCAAGUAAAUCAUCUUUUGAACCUCUUGCUCACAUUGAUUUGUUCGAGGAUCCAAAUGAGAUUGUGAUAAUCCAUUCCAAUAUAUCCCAUGUUUCAGCUGCUUAUGUUCUCCCCCUAAUGUUGGGUAUACUGAUUCAUCAAAAUGACAGUCGGCAAAUCUUGCCGUAAAUAAAUCUCCUGUCAUAGGUUCCAAAUAUUUUAUAAUGGAAGGAGAUUCAUACCCAAAAUAUAUUCACAAUCUUCUUUGGGGUCCCAUCUUUGUGCGUUAUGGUAGAGCAAUUGAAACAUAUACCGCACAUCCAAAAAUUCUAAGAUGAGAAAUAUUUAGUUCUUAACCAAAAAUCAACUGUAAUGAGGAGAAUUUAUGAUAACUGGUUGGCCUUAUACGCACAAGUGUUGUUGCAUGCAAAAUAGCAUGUCCCCAUGUUGAAACAGGAAGUUUUGUCCUCAUUAACAUCGAUCUAGCUAUCAAUUGAAGACGUUUGAUUAAUGAUUCUGCUAGACUAUUUUGAGUGUGAACAUGAGCAACCGGAUGUUCAAAUUUUAUUCCAGUUGACAUACAAUAAUCAUUAAAGGACUGAGAUAUAAACUGAUCAGCGUUAUCAAGAGGAACCGUCUUUAUUGCAUAAUCUGAAAAUUAUGCUCUUAACCUUAUUAUUGAGCCAACAAUCUCGUAAAAGCCAUAUUGUGAGUUAAUAAUAAGCACACAUGUGACCAUCUUGUAGAUGCAUCUAUCAAGACCAUAUAAUAUUUGAAAGGUUCACACGAAGGGUGAAUUGGUCCACAUAUAUUACCCUGCAUACGUUCUAGAAAUGCAGGGGAUUCAAUCCUAACCUUAGUUGUUGAUGGUUUAAUAAUCCACUUUCCUUAAGAAUAAGCAGCACAAUAGUAUUCAUUUGAUUAAAGAAUCAGUAUGCCCAUGUGAAUUUUCGAUAAUUCUGUGCAUCAUAUUAAAAUCGGGAUGGCCCAAUCGAUCAUGCCAAAUGAUAAAAUUAUUACGAUCUGUAAAUCUUUUAUUUACUAUGGUAUAUGAUUCAACCAUACAAAUACUUGUAUGAUACAAUCCAGAAGAAAGUGCAGGUAGUUUUUCAUGCACAAAUUUUUCUCUAUCUUUUAUUGUAGUAAUAUGAAGACAUUCAAUCUUUCCUUCAUUUGUAGUAUCAAUGUAAUAGCCAUUUUCGUGAAUAACCUUGAAACUUAACAAGUUUCUUUGAGACUUACUACAAUAUAAUGCAUUAUCAAUGACCAAUAUUGUUUCCCUGGGUAGUAAUAAGGGCGCUCUUCCAGAAUCUUCAAUUAACUUUGUACUAUCGGAUAUUGUAUUAAUAGAAGCCAUUUUCAUAAUCAAAUUAGAGAAAUAUUUCUUUUCUCUUAAUAUAGUGUGAGUUGUAGCACUGUCAAGGAGACACACAUCUCCAUUACUCAUCUUGGAUUCAGUUGAAGAUUGAAAAAUUUUAUUAUCUUCACAAAAUAAAAAUACAUGAUAAGGAAAGUGAACUUUCAUAAUCUUAAAUAAUUAUUAUUUUCUCUUGAAAAGUAAAAACAACAUAAUGGAAAACAUGCCAAAAAACAACAUAAUGAAAGAAUAUUAUUUAUUUUCCCAAUAACUUGAUCAAGAUUUAGUUUUGGUCACCAAAGAAGUCUUCAGGUUCCAAAUGAGUUAUAUCAUUAAGGCCAUCAAAAUCAUCUUCUUUCAAGAUCAAGUUUGCCUCAACAUUGUCAGCAUAUUUUUAUGAAGGUCAUGCCUCAUCAUCAUUUUUGAAAGUUAAAUGUGACUCCAUUCGGGUAUUAGAUGAGGUCCCACCUUCAUUUCUCUUUCUUUUGCAAGAUUCUUGAUGAAGCCUGGCAAAAUGCUUAGGCACCCGACAUUCAUUUUUUCAGUAGUCUUUCAUUCCACAGCGAUGACAAUUACCUCUUGAAGGAUUGUUUUGGGGACCCAUUUGGUUCUCCCUUCUUUGAUUACCACUACCACGACGAUUACUAUAUCGCCCCUUGCCAUUGCCACGUCCACGCAUAUUAUUAUGACCUCGAUCUUGCCGUCUUUCAGGCUGGCCAUGCACUUGUACCACAUUUGCUUCCGGUAGUGGAGCAGUUCCAGUGGAACGGUUUUCAUGAUUUUUCAUCAAAAGGGCAUUAUGCUGCUUUAACUACUAGAAGGCAUGAGAUUAAUUCAGAAUACUUCUGAAAGCCCUUUUCACGGUAUUACUGCUGCAACAUCACAUUUGAGGCAUGAAAAGUAGUUAGUGUUUUUUCCAUCAUGUCCUCAUCAUUUAUAGUUUCCUCACAUAAUUUCAAUUGAGAAACAAUCUUGAUACAACAAAAUUAUAUUCAACAAUGGUUUUAAAGUCUUGAAACCAUAAGUGCAUCCACUCAUAACGAGCUCUGGGCAGUACCGUGACCUUUAGAUGGUCAUACCUUCCUUUCAAAUCAGUCCACAAUUCAAGUGGAUCUUUCACAGUAAGGUAUUCAACCUUCAGUCCUUCAUCCAGAUGAUGACGAAGGAAAACCAUAGCCUUGGCCUUGUUCCGACUCGACGUUGCAUUAUCCGGGAUAAUAGUAGCACUAAGAUCCUUAGCAGCUAGGUGAAUCUCAGCAUCGAGAACCCAUGAUAAGUAAUUUUUCCCGGAGAUGUCAAGUGUCACAAACUUAAGCUUCGACAAGUUUGACAUGAUGAAAACUAUCAUGAAAAUAAUGAAGUUAAGACAACAAUACAAUAACAUGAAAAUAUUUUUUCUUCAUGUAUAACUUUAACGUUAAAAAUAAAACUUUGAUAAAAGAAAUUUAACAAACUACAAUAUUCAAGACAAGUAAGUUGAAUAUACCUGAUGGAUUUAAAAUUUGAAAGAGGAUAGAGGCAUGUUGAUAACGUGUUAUAAAAUAAAGACAAAAUAUUAAUAUCAAACUUUGUUUAACAAAGAAGAGAACUAGAGAGAAUUUUAGUAGUAUAUUUGUUACUACUUCUUAUGUAUAUAUAAAAUGUACAAAUGGUGUCUAUUUAUAGAUACCAUACUUAGUUUUUAAGUACACCAUUUUGACUUCAAGUUGGUAAGUUUGUUAAGUAUGUAUUCAAAUCCAAAUUGAAUACCACCAUUUAGUCUUCAAAUCCGACUUGAAUACCAACUUUGGUCUUCAAAUCCAAUUUGAAUACCAACUAUUAUUUCUAAUAUUUAGUAUAUGAACAUCCACCAAAUACAUUAUUUACAAUAAUUAUCAUAUUGUGUAUUUAGUUGACUCUAUUCAUUUGCUUAGGUGAUCACGAACCUGAGCUAAUCACGUGUUUUAAGUUUUGAGAGGCGCAAUCUUACUGAUACACCAUCGAGUGCCAAUUUAUGUACAACAAAUACUUGGGUUGCUUUCACCAUUAUUUUAAAUUAGAAAAUUCAUCAUCAUAUUGAUGUAAUAUUUUAUGAAUAUAUAAAUUAAUUCUAAAUAUUAUAUCUAUCUAAUUCAAUUUAAAUUCAAAAAAUAGUCAAACUAACUCUCUAAAAGCAAAACAUGACAAAUAAAUUAAGACAGAGAAAACAUUGUAUUAUAUUUUUCUGAGAAGAAUAUUAUACCAUUUGAUUUAAAAUGAUGAACAUUGAUUUAUCACAUCUAGUGGUCAUCAGAGACAUUUUAAUUUUGUGGAAAGGUGCAGAUUUAUUUCCAAAAACUGCGUCUUGAAUAUUUUUCACACAUUUCCUUACAAAGUGAUUUCAAACAAAAAGUUGGGAUAGGCUGGGGAUUAAAGGAAAAGACAGAGAUUUGAUUCGCUUCCCCAAUAUCAGUGAGAAGGUCUUCCCCAAAUCUGUCACUCUAUAUCUAUAUAUUAUUAAAAGGAGAGGACAAAGCCUCUACAUCGAUCCAAAUGGCAAUCUUUAAGAUUGACACAUGUAUUUUUAUAAGAAAAAUCUAUAUAUUAUUAAAAGGAGAGGGCAAAGCCUCUACAUCAACCCAAAUGACAGUCUUUAAGAUUGAUACAUGUAUUUUUAUAGGAAAAAGUUAGUUAAUUAGUUAAGAAUUGGUUAGUAUUCAUUUUUAUCCUUUACAGUUUUUUUUCAAAUUCAAAUUUACAGUUUCUUUAAUUGUUAAUUAAGUUUUACACAAUAAAAAGACUUAAAAAAAUAGGAAUUUUGAAAUUGAAACUAUUCCACUAAUUAAGCCAAAUCGUAUUUAUGAGUUGAGGUUUUUGAGUUUAAAACAGAUUGCAACUUCUACUUAUGGUUCUACAAUUUCAACUUUCCUGUUUUCUUUUUUUAUAUUAUAUACAUAUUCCUUUCUAUAACUAUUAACCAAAUAAUUAUUUUCAACCAUUUUUAUGUUCUUAAAUUUGGAUCAAAUGUGAUUAUCAAAUAUCUUUGAAUAAGAACUAUGGUCAUAAACUUAUUGUUGCAUACGAAUCUGAUGAAUUUACUCGACAAUUUAUUCGGUGACUUCACAUCUUUCAGGUAACAAUUUAAUUUUUUCUCUAAUAUAUUUUGAAUCUAACUCUUAAUCUCUUAUCUUCAAUUUCAUACCAAGGAAGAAAAUUCUCAAUAUACACGUAUUAAAGUAGUGUUUCAACUACGUAGAUUUUAGAAACUAUGCGUUUAUAUGUUUUUUUUACCGUUUACAAGUAAAUAUUUCAGUACUCAAAUCAUUAUUUACAUGUCUUUGUGCACUUUAUUUUUUAAGCAUUAAUUUGAUAAUUGAAAUUCUUAGGUUUUAUCAAGUAAAACUAAUUGAAAUGGAGUAGUGAUAAAAGAAGAAAAUGAAUUUGCGCGAUAUUAUUGAAAGAUUAUAAUAAUUUUGAAAUUAUCGUUGUUAUUUUAGGAAUUAGAAAUUAUGAAUGAGAAGGUUUGAAAAGGGAAAGGAAUAAUAUAGCAUUAUUUUUGACUAUUUAUUACAUCUUAUCUAUCUAUUUAUAAAUCUAUUUUAUUUUCUUAUGUGUAUGAUAUCUUAAUGUUAUAUGUUUUAUACAUGAGAGAAGUAACAGAGAACGAGUUAAGUUAAAUCACAACACAAUGUAAUAAUACUAAUGUAUAAAUAAAAAAUAAAGAACAAUAAAGAAAAAAUAGAAACAAAAGAACAGCAUGAAACAAUAGAAGAACAAAACUUACUUAAAAUUAAGAUGAAAAAGAUAAACACCAUAUUAUUGAUAAGCGCAAUUUAAACUCAAAGUUGAUUAACUAUCAUUAUUUUAAGCCUAUACUGGAUUAAACAAAGAGGACAAUGUGACUUAAGGCCCGUUUGGAUAAGCUGAAAAAAAGUGGCUGAAAAGUGCUGAACUUAUUUUAAAAAUAAGCAGUUAAAUACUUGAAUAAAAGUGCUGAAACUGAAAAAAAAAGUUAUUGAUGUGUUUGGUAAAUAAUGUUUUUAAACAUUUUUUUAAUCAAAAUGACUUAAAUACCCUUAUAGCAAUUAUUAAUAUAUAGAGUUGAUUAUUAUUAUUUUUUAUUGCUAAAAUGAUUUAAAUUAAUAUAUAUAUAUAUAUAUAUUAAAAAAUAUAUUUUCAAGAAUGUCUAUAUUAAUUUGUGCGCUAAAAAAAUAUUUUUUAAGAGUUUAAGUGUUAUGUUUGAAAAAGAUAGUUAUUUAUUAAAAGACUAUUUAUUUCUUCAUGGUUACAUUAAGAUUUCAUAUCAUUAAGGUGCAAUUUGUGACGACACUUCCAUUUUCUUAUUAAACUGGACUUGUUACUUUUAACUUUUGAGGAUAAUAUUAAUAUAUAUGUCAAGCUUAUCAUUAAGCAAAAUAUAUAUGUUACUAAUCAUUAUAAUUACAACCCAUGAACUGUUUCAUAUAGUAAUACAUAUAAGUUAUGAGCUAUCAAUUUUUUUUAAAAAAAGACAUAAUCUAAUCCAGCGGGGCUAGUAACAAAUUUAAUCCAACUUUUUCUACUGUCCACGUGCUCAAUAUGCAUUAGCAUAACCAAUAAUUAUAUGAUUAAGGAAAAACCAAUAACUAUACUUUGAUAAGCAUGGAAACUAGAUCUGUGUUUGCGGUGAAAGAAGAGUCUUUUAGGGCAACAAGAGGACAAUUUUGGAAUGAGGAAAGAUUAUAAGGGCAAAAAAGUCAUUUACUUGGUCAAUGGAGGAAUAGAUUAUAAGUUGGAAAAAAAUAAGUAGCAAAUAUCAACUUUUUUUUUUUUAAGCCUUUUUUAAGCCAAAAUCAACUUUUUUUAAGCUAUUACAAAAAUUUCAAACACCAUUAAAAGCAAAAAAAUAGCUUAUAAGUUAUUUUAACCAACUUAUAAGUGAAUCUAAACACCCACUUAUUCUUUUAAAUGGUGUAUGGACUAUGAAUAUAAGUAAACGUCUGUUGAAUUUAAUUCAACACUUUAUUAUUAUACUCUGUCUAUUUCAUAUGACACCGUUUGACUUGACAUGUUUAAAACAAUUCCUGAAUAAUUGUUGGGUUGUUAAUCAUUUUAAUUAGGGAUUAAAGAAAUAUUUUAAAAUAAAAUUGUUCUAAACAUAGGAAGAUGAUAUUUUUUUGAGAUGAAUUAAAAAGAAUAUGAUACUACAUAAAAAUGAAAUAAGAGAGUAAAAAGUAAGGGCAUGUAGCAUUUGAAAUUCCUAUACCAAACACAUCUUUAGAUCUUUAAAAAACACAUAAAAUUUUCUCAUAUACAGAUAACGUUGAUCAACUUUUUGAAUGAGUUGACAACAUUAUAUUUGAAUUCUUCUUUCACUAAUGUUUUCGUAUUAUGAUUUCAUAUAUCUCAAGGGAAAAAAAUGAAGAACUUUCGACUCCCAGAAUUAGACCAAAAAUAAAAAUUUGGAUGUGGCUUAUUUUUUUAUAUAUUGUAGACAACUUUGCACUUUACUUUUCUGACAAAUGCAUUGAAUUAGAACUAACUGAUACUUUUAUAACGAUUUAACUAAUUAAGCUACCAAAAUAAAUUGCAUUAAAUAUCAAUAAUUAUUUGAGAGUAAAUUAUAACUUAAUUCAUUAAAGAUAAAUAAUUAGUUAAAUGACUUUUUUUUAAUCCUUUUUAUAUCAAAGUGUCUGUCUUAUUAUAAUUUCAAAUAACUUGAUAAUUUACAACAUCUUAAACUCUCUCAUCACAUUUAACUUUUAUAUUUAUUAUGAAACAGUGAUAUCCAAACAUGCUUGCUACACUUCACCCAGUUAAUCAAGUUAUCAAAUAAUAAAAAAGGAGAGAAUAAAAAGUUCUCAUUCGAAGGAAAAAAUGCACCUUAUCAUCCAUAAUCAACCUUAUCAUCCAUAAUCAACGCUUACUUUAAAACUGUAGCCAUUAUCAUAUUCCAACAUAAUGCCACAAAUUUUAUAAGAAAUUAAAUCAGGUGAUUUAAUUUGUUGGUUUGAAAUAUGAUAUUUGUUUUCACUAUUUCUCUUAAUUUCUAUUAGUUUUAAGAUUUCAUUAUUUCUCUUAUUUCUGUUAAUUGUGCCUCCUUUAUCCUUCUUCUUUGCAUUUAUUUUGAAACAAAAAUUUACCAUGAAAGAUCCAAAGCAAAAUCGUACAAUAAAUCAAUGAUAGUGUGCUACGGCGUGAACAAUUUGCUUAUCCAUAGAAAUAAACAUAUUCAAAUCUUACAGUGUUGUUGAGAUAUUUUGAUUUCUUUGUUUAUAACACACUAAAUUUUCUUGCUUUAUUUAUUUAUUUAUUUUUUAUUCGAAAUUUGAUUAUCUUUUCUAAUCUAUAUUUUAUUUGUAUGGAUUACAUAGAAUGGCUAUUUGAUUCUCUUUCGAAACUCACUCAUACCCUGUCAUGAAGUAUGACAACGUCUUUGAUUAUACUAGAGCAAAAAAGAACAGAAAAUCGCAUGGGUUCGCCACUUAUUCUAAUAUUGAUAUUAUUUGUUUGAAUAAAUGUGACAUGUUCUAUAAAAUAAAGUAAAAGAAGGUGAAUGAGAUGCAAUUUAUAGGGUCUUUAAUGCGCAGAAGCUAGCCAAAAGAUUGUCAAUAUGAUUUUAGAUAUACCAUAGGGUUAUAGACAACAAUUCAAAAAUCACAACAACAACAACAACAAACCCAGUGUAUUCCCACCUGGUGNNNNNNNNNNNNNNNNNNNNNNNNNNNNNNNNNNNNNNNNNNNNNNNNNNNNNNNNNNNNNNNNNNNNNNNNNNNNNNNNNNNNNNNNNNNNNNNNNNNNNNNNNNNNNNNNNNNNNNNNNNNNNNNNNNNNNNNNNNNNNNNNNNNNNNNNNNNNNNNNNNNNNNNNNNNNNNNNNNNNNNNNNNNNNNNNNNNNNNNNNNNNNNNNNNNNNNNNNNNNNNNNNNNNNNNNNNNNNNNNNNNNNNNNNNNNNNNNNNNNNNNNNNNNNNNNNNNNNNNNNNNNNNNNNNNNNNNNNNNNNNNNNNNNNNNNNNNNNNNNNNNNNNNNNNNNNNNNNNNNNNNNNNNNNNNNNNNNNNNNNNNNNNNNNNNNNNNNNNNNNNNNNNNNNNNNNNNNNNNNNNNNNNNNNNNNNNNNNNNNNNNNNNNNNNNNNNNNNNNNNNNNNNNNNNNNNNNNNNNNNNNNNNNNNNNNNNNNNNNNNNNNNNNNNNNNNNNNNNNNNNNNNNNNNNNNNNNNNNNNNNNNNNNNNNNNNNNNNNNNNNNNNNNNNNNNNNNNNNNNNNNNNNNNNNNNNNNNNNNNNNNNNNNNNNNNNNNNNNNNNNNNNNNNNNNNNNNNNNNNNNNNNNNNNNNNNNNNNNNNNNNNNNNNNNNNNNNNNNNNNNNNNNNNNNNNNNNNNNNNNNNNNNNNNNNNNNNNNNNNNNNNNNNNNNNNNNNNNNNNNNNNNNNNNNNNNNNNNNNNNNNNNNNNNNNNNNNNNNNNNNNNNNNNNNNNNNNNNNNNNNNNNNNNNNNNNNNNNNNNNNNNNNNNNNNNNNNNNNNNNNNNNNNNNNNNNNNNNNNNNNNNNNNNNNNNNNNNNNNNNNNNNNNNNNNNNNNNNNNNNNNNNNNNNNNNNNNNNNNNNNNNNNNNNNNNNNNNNNNNNNNNNNNNNNNNNNNNNNNNNNNNNNNNNNNNNNNNNNNNNNNNNNNNNNNNNNNNNNNNNNNNNNNNNNNNNNNNNNNNAAUAUUAUUAUUUUUAAUAUGUAAAUAACUUAUAAUAAUUAAUUAAAAAUAAUAUAUUAAAAUUACAGAAUAAGUAGCUGAAACAGACAUGUCGACGGAGAGUUGCUUCAGCCCAACUCUCUCUUAUAUAAUAAGAGAAUAAAUACAGCUAGUCAUGUAUAAUAAUAAUAAUAGUCUAAUUUUCUAUAAAAAUUCAUAAAUUUUAAAAAACCUGAAUCUGCGUGCAGUAUUAUCACAUUAUUUGAUUUAAAGAAAAUGCCUUUCUACUAUUUUAUUUUAAGAUUUCAGUUUUUUUAGAUUUUUUUUUUUAUAUAUAUAAUUAUGAUAUUUGAAUUAGCUUAUCGGUAAUCACGUCAAUCAAAAAUUGUACGCAUGAAAAGAAAUUACCUAGUGCCAUUACUUAGUUCUCGACUUUAUUGAACACCAGUCCGUAGCAUUUUUGGGAUACAAUUUGGAUGCAAUCUUUUUAGUUAUUUUGAUUGACAACGUAUGCAAUAUUUUUUAGCUAUGUCCAGUUAUUACUUAAAACUCUGUAAAGAUCAACUGUUAUAUAGAAUUGUCUUUUUAAAAUAUUUAAUUUGUUAGCUAUGUAUUUUUUUUAUUUUUUAUUCGAUAUUCGAUAUUCAUGUGAAGUUCAAUUAAAUUCAGAUCAUAUCGAAAAAUUACACGUUUGAGGAUAAAACGCCUCUUAAUAAGCAACUCCGUAACCAAAAUGCACUCAAAAGAAAACCCAAUAAUAGCGACUUUAUAGCUGUUUUGCGAGGCAUUGUGUAUCAGCGUGUGAGUGUCGGUGGUUUGGAUAGAUGGACAAGAUCUCAUGGUAGAUUUUGGAUAUGGAAAUUUGUUUCAGGCACCUUAUGCAGGGGCACAUUUACAAAUUUAAAAUAAGCCAGUGGAAUGGUAAUCUUUCCGUAAAAUCAAAUAUUUUAUAUAUAUUUGUUUUAAAUUGAUAUUUUUUUGGUUGCUGUAUACACAAAGCGAGAAUCGAACCCCGAUAUUCGCUUAAGCGAUCUAGUGAGCUAAUCACUGGGCCAACCAAGCUUCAUUUGUUCUAAAUCGAUAUUAUUAUCUGAUGGAGAUGCUAAAAAAAGCUAAAUAAUGUGCUUACAUAUUUUUUUUUUAUGAUCCACUUAUAAUUUAGAAAUCUUAAAUUCACUUCUAAGCUUAUGAAAGACGUAAAUUUUGAUAUAAAAGAGCCGCUUGAAUGACAAACAUCCUCCACCUUCAAUUCUAUAAUUAUGAAUUUGAUUAAUCAAUACAUCGUAAAGCUUUUCAAUUCUAUAAUUAUGAAUUUGAUUAAUCAAUAUAUCGUAAAGCUUUUAGAAAGGAGUAAAGUAACGUUAACUUCAUACUUUUUCCGCUUUAAUUUAUUUAACCUAUUUUUUUAGUUUGUUUCAAAAGAAUAUAUUUUGAAUUUUUUACAUGAUACAUUUAAGGCAAUAAAACUAUUUAUUUAUUUUUUGAUAUACUUAACCUUCAUGAGUGUACAACGAUAAUAACAUAACCAAUAUAUUUCCAAUCAAGUGGAAUAUAAGAAGGGAAAACAUACCGGUCCAUACCACUAACUCAAUAUCCUUUUUUUUUUUCUUAAAACUUCCCCAAAUCAAACCCAAACAAAUAGAAUAGUAGUUUUAGAUAGGGGUGGGCGUGAUAAGGUAUGAUACGGUAUUUAAAAUUUCGGUACUGUAAUUUUGGUAUUCGAUUUUUAAAAAUAUUAUACCAUUACCAUAUCAUAUUAAUUCGAUAUAGUUCGGCAUUUUGAUGUUUGAUUUCGGUAUUUUACGGUAUGAUAAUUGGUAACUAUAGUUUGUACAACUUCAAUAAUAUAUACUCAUAUACUUAUUAUUUAGACUUUUCAAAAGCACGUUUUAAUUGCAUCAUAAAUAUACAUUACACAUGUAGAAAUAUUAAAAAAGAAGUACAAACAAUUCUUUUUGUUAGUCAAUUACAAAAAAAAAAAAAGACAUUUCAAUCAAGAUAGAGUAUCGAAAGUUUUAAUGUCUAAACAUUGGCAAUAUUUUUAUACUAAUACUAAGUAUUAUAUUUGUGUGUGUAUAUAUAUAUAUACACACAUAAAGAUACAUACAUAUAUAAGUUAUUUAUGUAACUAUAUAUACUUCGGUAUGAUAUUUGGUAUUUCGAUAUGUUAUUUGUACAUAUCAAAUAUCAUACUAUAUACCUAAGAAAAUUUAAAAAUAUAUACCAUAUACUAUAUUAAUACCAUAAAAUUAAAAUUACGGUAUCAAAAAUUUUGUUCGAUACGGUAAUUCGAUAUAUACUAUGUCCACCCUAGUUUUAGAAAAAAGUGGUCAUUAAAUAGAGGGCGCCCUUGGGUCUGCAUAUAUUCUACACAUUUUCAGCAAAAUAGCAGCUCUCUCUCAAUCCCCGCGUUAAUAAUUGAACUGUAUAUCAACCGCUUCCAUUCUUUUCUCUCCCUGCUUCUUCUCCCUCUCACACAUUUCACACUAGCACCUUUCAACAGAGAGAACAACAAGGAGAUAACAAAGGGAAAAAUCAAGAUCCAAAAAACAAUGGGGUCUCUUCCACCACCAUAUUUAGACUUGUCUUCAAAGCACCAAGAUUCAAUUGACCCAGAUAGGCUUCUUCAUCUCUUUAAAGCCCAGCAGAAUUACCUCAACCAUUUCUUUCAAAAUCUUGAUCUUUCACAAACUCUUACUUUCACCCAAACACUCCUUAAUGCUAAAGGUACAAUUUACUUUACUGGUGUUGGGAAAUCUGGAUUUGUGGCUCAGAAAAUCUCACAGACUCUUGUUUCUUUGGGAAUUAAAUCUGGGUUUUUAUCCCCUGUUGAUGCGCUUCAUGGUGACAUUGGCAUUUUGGAUCCGGAAGAUGUGUUGGUUAUGUUUAGUAAAAGUGGGAAUACGGAGGAAUUGUUGAAGCUCGUGCCUUGUGCCAAGGCGAAAAGGGUGUUUUUGAUUUCGGUUACGUCGGUGAAGCCGAAUUGUUUGAUGGGUGUUUGUGAUUUGAAUGUGCAUUUGCCUUUGGAGAGGGAAUUGUGUCCGUUUGAUUUGGCGCCUGUUACGUCUACUGCUAUUCAGAUGGUGUUUGGAGAUACGGUGGCGAUUGCGUUGAUGGGGGCUAGGAAUUUGAGCAGGGAAGAGUAUGCUGCUAAUCACCCUGCUGGGAGGAUCGGGAAAAGCUUGAUCUUCAAGGUAAGGAGGGGUAAUAUAGUAUUUUCUUAUGGUGCUUCCUUGAGGAAUGUGAUCCUUUGUGCUGUAUUUAUUGUGAUCUUGUAGUAAGAUCUAGGAAAUAAUCCCUAGAUUUUUGUUAGAGUUCCACAUUGGUUAGGGAAUGGAUUAGUGGUUUGCGUAUAUGGACUUGGCUAAUCCUCCCCUCGUGAGCUAGCUUUUGCGGUUGAGUUAGCCCCAAGUGCCAUAUCUUUACAGUUUUCACCUUAAUGUUGUGCGACGUGAGCAUGAAAAAGGUUCAAGUUUGUUCCUCCGCCUCAUCCUCCCUUCACUUUUUGUAUUGUUCCAGUUUGGGCUGUGGAGAAUUGAGUUUCGAAUAACGGUAAUCUUGGUUUUAUUUAUAGUUUUUGUUGUUUUUGAAAAUUGGCGGUAGUCGGUUCAAAUGUUGGAUAUUGGAAGGUUAUUUUGUCCAAAUCUUGGGUGUUUGAAGGUUAUUAUUCAAGUGUUAAUGCUUGUGUUUUAUUACAUUGCAUUGUGUGAGGGUAAGUUUAAGGAUUCUUGGAUUCUGGUGUCUUUUUUGGUUUUUUCAGUCGCAAAGGAAGAUUAUUGUCCAGCAACCGCUUUCAAGUUGCCUAAUUGAUUUUCCAGUCACGAAAUUUUUUGACACAUAAUGACUAUUGAAUAGCUGACUGCUUUAGCUUUCAGCCGUUUUUUAAGAAUUGCAUCAAAUUUUCGCAUGUGCUCGUCUGGUUGAUCCAAAAGGGUAACUCAACUGCAAUGAAUGAAGUUGAGUAUUCAUCUUACUCCUGAGCUUGCCAUCUAACUUUGCAGGUAAGAGAUGUGAUGAAGAAGAAAGAAGAUCUUCCAAUUUGCAAGGAAGGAGAUCUUAUUAUGGAUCAACUAGUAGAGCUGACAAGCAAAGGAUGUGGGUGCCUCCUUGUUAUUGAUGAGGAGUUUCAUCUGCUUGGCACAUUCACUGAUGGUGAUUUACGUCGGACAUUGAAAGCCAGCGGGGAAGGAAUCUUCAAGCUUACAGUUGGAGAAAUGUGUAACAGGUAAUGUUACUUGUACCUCUGUUAGCAUACUUGUAUCCUCAAUAUACCAGUUACACCGAAAGACCUAAUCCCUUGGAAAAAGAACUAGUGGAAAAAAGAAGGGCAGAAAGGGAGAAAGAUAUAUUGCUUCCACCGAAAGACACAUAAUUCCUUAACAGAAAAGUUCCUUGGCAAGCACAUGUUCGCUGUGGUCAAAAUGUGGUUAAACCAGUCUAGACUUAUACAGUCAUGAAUAUUGCUUUUUAGUACUUUUGCUGAUGUCAUGGUCCGGAAAUAGAUCUAACUUGGUCUUUUGUUAACCUACAGCGUGGCACUUAAUUUUCUUAGCAGUUAAACUUAGAUCCUGGUGUUAUCUUUCCCUUGCCAAAAUAUCAGUGGGAUAUUGUUCUAGUAAAAACAUGUCUUUUUGCACAAAGACAUGCUAUAGCAUUAGAUGAAGGCAAGAUGUAGUAAAUGAUGCAGAUUGAUGGGCCAAUGUUUGUUCAGCAGUUGAAAGGAAGUAAAUGAUAAAUCACAUGCAUCUUAUUCGGCUUCGGAAGGCACUGGUGACAAUGCCUCUGUUGUCACCAUAUAAAUGUGUCAAUGCUCAUAUAUGAAAGUGUCAACAACAACAACAACAACAACAAACCCAGUGUAUUCCCACCUAGUGGGGUCUGGGGGGGUAAGAUGUACGCAGACCAUACCUCUACCUCUGGUGAAGUAGAAAGGCUGUUUCCGAUAGACCCCCGGCUCAAGGCACGAGAUACCACACAAACACAUAGUAAAGCACAGAAGCGGAUUACAUAACAUAAACACGGCACCCAUAAGUAAUAUAAAACAGAGGAAAGCAGAGGAAAGCACACAGAUUCGUAAUAAAACAUGGAACACGGAACAAGGAAUCAUAACAGGAAUAAAACCCCCACCAAGUCCUUCCCUCCACUAGCGACCCAAACUGGCCCUAAUCCUCUGCCGAAAUUCGCGCCCUCCAGACCUUCCUAUCUAGGGUCAUGUCCUCGGUGAGCUGUAACUGUUUCAUGUCCCGCCUAAUCACCUCGCCCCAGUACUUCUUCGGCCUACCCCUACCCCGCCUAAAACCAUCCAACGCUAGCCUCUCGCACCUACGGACCGCCCUCAUCUUUUGGAUGUGGGAGUUCUUCACUGGCCAACACUCCGCUCCAUACAACAUGGCCGGACGGACUACCGCCCUGUAGAAUUUGCCUUUAAGCUUAGGCGGCACCUUCUUAUCACACAGCACCCCUGACGCGAGCUUCCACUUCAUCCAUCCCGCCCCAAUACGGUGCGAGACAUCCUCAUCAAUCUCACCGUUACUCUGGAUCACGGACCCGAGAUACUUGAAACUCUCCCUCUUACCUACCUCCUGUGAUUCCAGCUUCACUACUACCUCGUUCUCCCUCCUCAUGUCAUUAAACUUGCAUUCCACAUACUCUGUCUUGCUUCUGCUCACCCUGAACCCUUUAUACUCAAGGGUUUGCCUCCACACCUCUAAUUUGUCGCUCACACCCUCUCGGGUCUCAGCUAUCAGAACUACAUCGUCUGCAAAAAGCAUACACCACGGCACCUCCCCUUGAAUACGCCGCGUCAACACAUCCAUUACCACUGCAAACAAAAAGGGACUAAGAGUAGAUCCCUGAUGCAACCCUGUCCGGACCGUGAAAUGUUCUGAGUCUCCUCCCGCCGUCCUCACCUUAGUUUUCGCUCCAUCAUACAUAUCCUUGAUUGCUCUGAUGUAUGCCAGCGGUACUCCCCUCACCUCCAAGCAUCUCCAAAGCACCUCCCUAGGGACUUUGUCGUAGGCCUUCUCCAGGUCGAUAAACACCAUGUGCAGGUCCUUCUUCCUCUCCCUAUACUGUUCCACCAACCUCCGUACCAGGUGAAUUGCCUCCGUCGUCGAGCGGCCAGGCAUAAAUCCAAACUGGUUUUCUGAAAUAGACACUAUCCGUCUCAGCCUCACCUCGACCACUCUCUCCCAGAUCUUCAUAGAGUGACUCAAUAACUUAAUACCCCUAUAGUUGUUGCAACUCUGGAUGUCCCCCUUAUUCUUAUAGAGAGGUAUCAUGGUGCUCCACCUCCAAGCCUCGGGCAUCUUUGCCGUCCUGAAGAUUUCAUUAAACAAUCCAGUCAACCACCUUACACCAGCCUCUCCAACGAACUUCCAAAACUCCACUGGGAUCUCAUCCGACCCCAUCGCCCUACCCCUUCGCAUCUUGCAGACAGCCUGUCCAUCCUCUUCUACCUUAAAACGUCUGCAAUAGCUAAAAUUCCGACACUCCACUGAGUGCUCCAGUUCCCCUAACACAAUAGCUCUAUCCCCUUCGUCAUUCAAGAGCCUAUGAAAAUACGACUGCCAUCUCUUCUUAAUGUGGCCGUCCUCCACCAACACUCUACCGUCCUCCCCCUUAAUGCACCUCACCUGAUCGAGGUCACGACCCUUCCUCUCCCUAGCCUUAGCGAGUCUAAACAACUUUUUCUCCCCUCCUUUCUCCUGUAACCCUGCAUACAAGCUUCAUAUAUGAAAGUGUCAAGUGCAAUUUUGGUAGAAUAACGCAGGAAAUAUCUCUCCCCUGGGUUCUACUUUUACGGUUGAACCUACGCCUUGGUGCCCGGUCUCCACCUGCCCCAUCCCUAGAAACAGUUAAGGGUAGAAAUUGGUGGUUUAGUUUUGUAGAGCCUCUUUUAAUAGUUCCUCCAAAUUUUGAUGCUUUCUGUAAGACCUAGUUCAUAAUAUUGACUAAUUUCUUUUUGUUAAACAAGUAUUUGCAGUCUGAUUUGCUUGAGUUACUUCCUUUAUGUAUCAUACACCCAGAUUAUCUAAUUAAGUUCUGUCUAUCAAACCGGACUAGCAUGUAUCAGGCCCUGGUUUGUGUUCUCUUGUUAAAAUUCUAGCAUAGAGUAGGAUACAGACUGUUGAUCCUUGUAAAUUACUGUUAUAAACAUUACACAAGUCAUUGGAUAUUUCCUGGCAUGUCAAUAUUCAAGUUUCCUUCCGAUAAAAAGUUGGAUUUUGCGAUAUUACUUUGUUCUUGCUUUUUUAAUUGAGGUAGGAUGGCGUCUUUUGACUAUGAGAAGUAAAGAAUUAUUCUUUGCUUCUGUCUUUAACUUAUCAAAAAAUAAUUCUUGGCUUCCGCCUUAACAUCACAUUGUUGAUUAGAUCUUUUACGCUCCUUGGUGGAUCACCGGCGGCGGUGCUAAUAGUUGUAGUAGUAAUGACAUUAGUAUGCGUUCUGCCUUUGAAUUCUUUAACCUUUAAUAAUACAGGCUCUUAAUAUAGUUUUUGUUUGAUUAAGAGCAAUCUAAUGACACUUCUUCCCGACAUUAUGAAUAGUUAUCCUCAGAGAUUAAAGCAUUUCUAUACACUUACUUGGUGUUUCAGGAAGCCAAGGACGAUUGGUCCAGAUGCUAUGGCAGCUGAUGCAAUGCAGAAGAUGGAAUCUCCGCCAUCUCCAGUCCAGUUCUUGCCAGUUAUUGAUCAAGAUAAUGUCUUGAUUGGUAUUGUUACGUUGCACGGACUGGUGUCAGCAGGCUUGUGAAGUUCUUGCCAUUAUAAUUUAUUCUUUAUGUAUAUUGUUGGGCUUCCGACCCCAUUUCCUUCAGCUGAUGUUAUAUUACUCCUGUAGAAAUGAUGAAUAUUAGUAGUGUAAUAUAUUAUAGUCGCCUUAUUAGACUACUUAUAGAUUGGGCUACAGUUUUGUGCCUGUUACAACGAGGGAGCACGUGACAGCGAUGAUCCUAUGUUCGUCAGAUCUAUGCAAAAUCGAGUGAAAUAUUAUGUAUGGUGUUAUUUUUUUCUUCAAAAUAAUGCUUUCAAGGAGUCUUUUUGCCCCCAAAAUGUUACAAGGUUUAUUCUAAUUGUGAAGAAGUUAUAGAUGAUCAUGUUCGUUGAGAAACUCUCAUAUUUGGUGUCCACGAAAGUGUCUAUCAUUCCAGAUAGGGAUGUCAAUUAGGGGAAAUGUCAUAGGGAUGUCAAUUAGGGGAAAUGUCAAAAUGUAUUUAUAAUCUAUAUUUGUAAUCUAUAAUAUAUUAAAAAUGAAGAUGUGAUUUGAACUUUUUGUCCUAUUCUUCUUUAAAUAAAAUUAUCUUUUCACUAUUUCUUUUAAUUUAUUAUUUAAUUAUUUUAUUAUAUUAACGAGGCUAUUAAAAUAUGAGACUCCUAAAAUAUAUGGAAGGAGCAUCAAUUAAUAUUUUCCUAUUGAUCAAUUAGAAAAAUACUUUUAAAAUAGGAUAGAAAAAUAUUACUCUAUUAAGGAAAUAUUCAAGGUUCUAUUAAGAAAAUACUUCUAUAAAUAUUGAGAUGUGGUAAACUAGAUAAGAAAAUGAUAUACUUAUUGAGAUGCAUGCUAAAUUAGACAAGAAACUGAUAUACUUAUUGUGAAAAAUAUGAUUGAUGUUCAUCUAACUUGAUUCAGUUACAUGUCAAGAUUGAUGGAUGUUUAAUUUUUUAACCUCCAAUUUCUUCACUAUUUUUGUUAACAUAAUAGAAUCAACGUGUGUAUAUAAUAUAUCUUCUUUGUUUUCAUUCAAGCCAUUCUUUAGUGUCAAUUUUCACUCAGACUAAAAUUAUUUUCUUUAAAAUUGAAGCUUUGUGAUCACUAUUGUAUUAUUUUGUUGUAGUUUACAGAUAGUAGGUGAAUGUCAGUCGGCUUUGAGAAUUUUUUUUGGGUAAAUGUCAGGUUUAAUUGUAUUGUUUUUAUAUCUCAAUUAUCGUAUUAUUUUGUUACAGUUUACAGGUGAUAGAUGAGUAUCAGACGGUUUGAGGAAAUUUUUGUGUAAAUGUUAGAUUUAAUUAUAUUGUUUUGAUGUCUGUGUUGCAGUUUACAAGUGUUAGAUGAAUGUCGCUCAACUUUGAGAUUUUUUUUGACAAAAGUUAGAUUUAAUUAAGUAAAUUCUCUAAAUUCAUCUUUAUUAUUUAAACAAAUAUCCUAUUUAGUGUAACAUUUGAACUCAGUAAAGUGAGGUACACGCGUGAGGCGCGUACACCUAAAGAUGAAUCUACUUACUGGGUUCUGACAUAUUUUUUUUUGCUCGUUUCAGCUCAAUCCACUUCCGUCCAAAAACGUAAGUGGAUCAAUGACCCACCCAUUUAUUAGCCCAACUAGUUUAGGUGUAAGCGUCUUGCGCGUGUACCUCACUUUAUUGAGUUCAAACGUUACACCAAAUAGGAUAUUUGUUUAAAUAAUAAAAAUGAAUACAAUAAUUAAAUUCAAUAUCUUUUGGAGAAUUUAUUUAAUUAAACCUAAUCUUUACCAAAAAAAAAAUUCAAAGUCGAUCGACAUUUAUUUGCCACGUGUAAACUACAACAAAACAGUAUGAUGAUAGAGCUAUCAAAACAAUAUAAUUAAAUCCAACCUUCACACAAAAAAUUACUCGAAGUCGUCCGACACUCAUCUACCACUUGUAAACUAUAACAAAAUAAUACGACAAUAGAGAUAUUAAAAUAAUACAACUAAACUUUAUCUUUACACGAAAAAAAUCUCAAAACAAAGAUACAGAGGGCCUGUUUGGCCAUGAAAGUUUUUUUCUUUUUUCAGUUUUUUUUUUCAGAGUUGAAAAUUGUGAUGUUUGGCCAUGAAAAUUCGAAAAAUAAUUCCGGAAUUAAAUUUCAAAAAGUGAAAACAACUUUUUGUUAUUUUCCCUUUUUUCCACUUCCAAUUCCAACUUCCAUUAUUAUUACAUAUAACCCAAAUCUUUAAAUGUUUACACAAACCCCUCUUAUUAACUACAAUCAAUCACCGAGAAAAAAAUUAUUAUUUGUUUUCUAUGGUACAAAAUCAUUUUUAGUUGUUACAUAUAUUCUAGUCUUUUUUUCUUCUUUUAACCAAAAUUUACUAAAGUGAAGUAAAAAAUAAUAAUGACAAUCUAUGGCGGAAAUAUACCAACUUUGUUUUGAAUGAACUAUAUUAGAGAAAUAUAAGUCCUAGUACAUUAUGUUAUUUAAAAGUGAGAAAUUUAAUAUUUUUUCUUGUCAUUCUAAUUUUCUGUAUAUGUCAUAUAAUGACUAUUAUGAUUUAAUAAAUUAUUAAAAAGUGAUCAAUAAAGUCGCAUAUCAAACAUAAUGUAACGAUUCAUAUUUAUGAUACAAUAAUAUUCAAGGAAAAUCAACAUCAUCAAUAAUAAUAAAAAAAAAGCAAAAAAUUAGCACUAAUCUGUUCAGAAAUAAUUCAUUUGUAAAUUUUUUUAAAAAGACCAAAUUCAAUAAAAUAAUUAAUUCAAGUGAAAAUAAUUAAGAAUUUUCAUCAACAAAUUUAACAAUAUAUAAAAUAUAUUUAUAUCUAUCAAAAUAUAUUUUUUCUCUAUUCAAUCGAUUAUGGUUAGAUAAACUUAUUUAGCUCGUGCGUAUGAUGUUUUUUAUUCAAAUUUUAGAAGAAUAACAAUCAUAAUAAUUAGUUCGUUGUUAAUUAUUUUAUCAAUUGAAGACAUAUAAAUUAUUUUCUCAACAUUUGGUUGUAUGUUAGUAGGUAAAUUAGUAGUUGGGUGAUUUGGAUAAUUUUUUCAAGUUGAGGCCAUAAAAUCAUAUUUAAAAAGGAUUUUUCAAAAGUCUAAAAAAAAAAUUCAAAAAUACAUGGCCAAACACAACUCCAACUCCAAUUUCAUCUUCAACUCCAACUCCAACUCCGAAAAAAAAAUAAUUUUCAUGGCCAAACGACUACUAAAACAAUACAAUUAAACCUAACAUUUACCUAAAAAAAAACUCUCAAAGCCAAUUGACAUUCAUCUACCACAUGUAAAUUCAUCUACGACCUGUAAACUACAACAAAAUAAUACAACAGUGAUCACAAAACUUCAGUUUUGAUAAAAAUAUUUCUUCUCUGAACAAAAAUUUUGACACUAAGAGAUGACUUGAAUAAAAAUAAAGAAGGUAUAUAUAUACACACACGUUGAAUUCUUUAAUGUUGACAAAAAUAAUGAAGAUGUUGGGAUUGGAAAAUUAAGCAUCUAUCAAUCUAGAUGCAACCAAAUUAAAUUAGAUAAACAUCAAUUAUAUUUUUCACAAUAAGUAAAUCAGUUUCUUCUCUAGUUUAACGUAUCCCAAUAUUUAUAGAAGUAUUUUCUUAACAGAGUCCUAUUAUCAGUUUUUUCUCUAGUUUAACGAAUCUCAAUAUUUAUAGAAGUAUUUUCUUAAUAGAGUCCUAUUUUAGAAGUAUUUUCUUAAUAGAGUCCUAUUUUAGGAGUAUUUUUCUAUCUUAUUUUAGAAGUAUUUUUUAGAGUAUUUCUUUAGUAGAGUCCUAUUUUUCUAUCCUUUUGGGGGAUUAUUUUUUAGUUGAGCAGUACAAAGGAUAAUAUUAAUUGAUUCUCCUUUCAUAUAUAUAUAUAUUAGGAGUCUCAUAUAUUUUAAGAGUCUAGUUAAUAUAAUAAAAGUAAUUAAAUAAUAAAUUUUUAAAAAUAGUGAAAAGACAGUUUUGUCUUCACACUUUUAAUUUAUUAUUAUUUUAACUGCACGUGCCUCACAUGAGUAACUUUUGAUUAUUCAAAAUUAAAUGAUUUUAUCUAUUACAUAGAAUUUUAAUAAAUUGUAAAAGUUUAAAUCACAUUUCAAAGAUUUUUCAUACUUUAAUAUAAUAAUAUAAAUAUAAACAUAUAUUUUAGUGUAAGCACAUAUAUAUUUUACAUCAUUGCUUUUGCGUUUGUCAUAAAGAUUUUUUGCCUUACUGUCAGAGGUUAAGAGAGACGUAUCAAUCUGACUCAUACAUGGUACAAUUAUUUUUCUUUUUCUUUCCAUAUUUAAAACUUUCCUUGUGUUUAAAGUUAAAUCUUUACAAAAUCAUUGAUUAGAUUCUUAUUACGUACUUAAAACUUUUAAAAUUUUUGUACUUCUUAAAUAUUGUUCUUAUUCUAAUGAUAAAAAUAAAAAUAAUCAUAAAGUACCAAUUGACAUUAAAGUAAAUAUUAAACCGAUUGUAAUAAUAUAAAUAAAUAUUGCAUCUCAAAUAAGUUCUUGUUGUUAUGAAAUCAGGUGUCGUGUGGAAGCUAACAAAUCAAACCGCAAAAAGAGUCAAAUAAGAAGACACGUAAGAAAUACAUCAAAAUAGAUAAUAAUUUAACGUGAUUCGAGCAAUUGACCUAGAAUCACAAAAGCACACGAAUAAUCCACCAUAUAAAAUAGAAUAUAAAAUAUUAAGAGAGACAACCUCACACAACUCAGACACAGUAAAAAAAAGGUUCACAACACCUGGAAGACUGACAUUCACCUUCAAAUCUCUAUUAUCAUCCAACAAAGGUUUUCGUUUUUCAUGAAGCAAGCAAAAUUUACCCACUUAGUCUAUGUUAAUAACUUAUAUAUAUAUAUAUAUAUAUAUAUAUAUAUAUAUAUAUAUAAGUUUCUUUAGUUAUGAUUGUACCAUUCUCAUGAUGAUGAGUAUAGAAAAUUCAUAAUUUAGGGUACUUAGCAACCUAUAAUAUGUAUGAGUGUGUAAAGUAGCUAUGAAAAUAAUUUUUUCUUAUGUUAAUAUGUUCACGAACGAAAGAGUUUAUGUUUAUACUUUUUGACUUUUUUUUUAUGUUGGCUGUUUCAACACCGCAGUAUAUCUCCUUCCGCCUAUGAAAAACUAUUUAGCCUAACAUGAGGCAAAAUUUGUAUCUUUUAAUUAUAUAGAGUACUUGGGAUAGUAGGUGAAUAGUAAUUUAGUAUAAGUCAAAUUUUCUUCAAAAAUACCUAGAUUUUCUUCUCUGGUAUUAAUAAAUCUUUCGUCCGAAAGGUUAUUUACUAUGGGACAGUUUAUUCCUUUACUAAAGGUGGAUUUAACAAUUAUUUGGAUAAAAGAAAUUUUUAGAAGCACCUGCUUCAAUUGUAAUUUUACUAUAUCACUCCUAAUUAAUUAUUACAAGUCAUUUAUGUGUUAAUAAGUAAUAAUAUUUAAUAAAAAAAUAAAAUAGACAUUUAUGACAUGUUUGCUUCAGCUGCUUCAACUGUAAUUUUACUGUGUUAUUCCUAAUUAAUUAUUGUACCCCUAAUUAAAUACUAUAAGUCAUUUACGUAUUAUAAAAUUAAUAAUAUUUAAUUAAAAAAGUUAAAAUAAAUAUUUAUGAUUGUUUCAGCUACUUCAACCAUAAUUAAAUACUAUAGACUUACUUUUGCCUCCAAUAUUCUUGAAGAACGGUAAAAAUUCAUCCAAUUUAUAGUACCCACAAAAUUAAAACCUGAUCAAGCACAAAGGACAUAAAUUUUAGAUUAAGAUUAAAGAAGAAAAAAACAACAACACAAUAUUUGAUGCUCAAAACCAAAAAGAAAAUAAAAAAAUAAUUUAACCAAAAAACAAAUUGGAAGAAGAACAUACUAAUAACAAUUUAAGAAAGGUAACAAUUUAUUUAACCUAAAAAAAUUAUACUUUCCUAGAAGAAGUUGUACGUGAGGGUAGAUUUAAAGAUAUUAAGAUUUAAAUAAAGAAAUCUUUGAUGACCAAAAUUUAAAUUUGUACGAAAAUUUUUAAUUUUAACAUAACUAAAAUAGAAAAGAUAUAUAUUCUCAAAAUUAGAAGUUUAGUACUAAUAAAUUUUCUAUUUUUAUUCUCAUAUUAAAUUUUCCUUAUUAUUUUAAGCUACGCCAAUUUUAAAACUUUUUAUACUUUUUUAUGUCCAAAUCACGUUUUACCUUUUUUAUUUACCUUCAUGUCGUUCAGACUGUACCAAUUGUAAUGACUAUUAACUUUUAGCCAAACAUAAUAACCUUAUCCUUUUUUUAUUUAGUCAAAUUUUAUUUUGACUAAAGUUAAUUAAAUAAUAUCUUUGAGUAGGAAUUUUAUUUGAGUAAUAUAGAAAAAGACCAUCUAGUCUAUUAGAGAGACUUUUAAUGAAAAUCAGAAAAUUUAAAUCAUUUUUUUAAGGUUUUCACACUUUUAAUAUAUUAUAGAUAUAAAUAGAUUUAGAUUUCUAGAUUUUUCAAAUCUUUUUAACGUUGAAUUUAGUCGAUUUGAAAUUCCUAAACUAAUGAAAAAAAGUAUUAGUUGUCAUCAAUCCUAAUGACUUUUAAUAAGAAAAGGUUUUACCAUAAAUAUAUUUAAUUAAUUUUCAUUCUUAGAUAUUAGGAAAAAAUAGUAAAAAGACGAUUUUGUCUAAAACAAAGACUUUUAAUAAAGAACAAAAAGUUCAACAAUAUUUUUAAGGCCUUCACACUUUUAAUAUAUUAUAGAUAUAUAUAGAUAUAGAUGAUAAAUCCAAUCAAUAAUACAUAAAAUUAUUUUGAUUGUUUUUGCUUAGAAAUAAAUAGUACUAGUAACAUAUUUGCCAUAAUUUAAUACUCCCUCCGUUUAAAAUAAUAAACCUUAUUUUAUUUUAGUCCAUUUAAAAAAUAAAAAUUUCUUUUUUUUUUUACAAUACUUUAAUUUUAGCUUUUCAUAAAAUUUAAAUUUUUUUAUUAAUUUUUUUUAAAUUUUGUGUCAAGUUAUUUUUUUUUUUUUAAACUGAGGGAGUACUAUUUCUGAUAAAUAUCAUUUCGAUUGAAUUUUUUCUUGGAUCCAUUUUGCAACAUUCGCUUCAAACUUCCUACCAAACGAAAUGAACGCUCAGCUGAAUUCCACAGCGAAUUUCAUUCAAGGUACUAAAUAAAACCUUUCCCCUUCUUCCCCUUUACCGCUUAUUUGUCUUAAUAAUCAAUCAAUUCUCCCAUGUGCAUUUACCUUGUAGAAAACGCCGCCGGUAGUGAUUCCGACUCCAACUCCGACGAUUCGCCGGAAUAUUACCAGCCAAUCUCUUCCACCGCCGAUGAGGACGAUCCACACAACUCCGAUCACGAAGACUCCGACGAAUCUAGUGAUGUUCAUCGCCUCCCUAAUGGCUAUGCGAAUUGCGUUGAGAACGGAAUAUCAUCAUCACAGGAUCUAAGUGACGAGGAUGAAGAGUCGGAGGAGGCGGAGGAAGAGAGAAUAAGAACGGCGUCUGAUACCGCUGUACGGAGAGCGUUUACAGAGGACGAGAGCCGUCGGAAUACUCCGUUGACGGCGGAGAAUGCAACGAGAGUAAUGGAAGCUAUGCGGAGGAUUUCAUUUGGUGGAGUGGCUCCUGAUUGGACCAGCCAAGUUCCGGAGGAUCAGUGGAUUCAACAUCUACAAACAUUGAGAAGAUCACCAGCUACUGCUACGUCGACAAACUGAAACAGUUUGAUUUGCGAUUAAUUAGUAAUUGCCUGAGCUUUACGGAUUUAAUCUUUGUUGUUUUAGCUGAAUUGCGUGAUUAUUCAUGGAAUGUGCUGGAUAAUACUAUUGUUAAAUAGUACUAAGUUGUGGUUAAAAUGUGAUUAAACCUUUCUAGCUUUCUAUGCUCAUGAAUAUUUGCUCUUAAGAUUUUUGUUGAUGUCAUUGGUUUGGAAAUAGAUAUAACUUAGUUUUGGUUAAUCUAUGGUGUGUAUUAACUGAAAAUCUCUCACAACAGCCUUGUUCCUAAUUUCUCUGUAAUAUUGAAUAACUGAUGUAUUUUAUAUUAUUGUUAUUUGUUGUGUAUAUCUUAGUAGGUAGCUUAGAGAGAAUACAGGAUUUGUAUUUAUCCUUUUAAAGGAUUCAUGUACACAGUGACUAUAUAAAUAAAAUCUUCCUCUCGACGGAAGUUUUAACCGAGAGUCUGCGAACUCCAUUAUUCUCCCAUUGUUUAUAUUUUUACAUGGUAUUAGAGCCAUCGAUUCAAUAUGGCUGAUUCGACAAACACAAACAAUAAUCUCACUCUCACACAAGGAUCAUCUUCCAAUAAAGUUACUUAUCACUUACCGAAUCUCUCUCCGAAACUUGAUCGAAAUAACUUUCAGAUUUGGAAGAGUAAUGUCAUCAAUGCUCUUCAAAUCUUCCGUCUCCAUUCUUUCGUUCUAUCCUACAAUCCACCACCUGCUACUGUAACGUCCCAAAACGACCCAGCUGAACCAUCUGUAACUGUUCCAAAUUUGAAAUAUGAGGAGUGGUACCAAUGUGAUUUGUACAUCCUUCUUUGGCUCAAACAAACAAUUUCAGAUCCUCUUCUUCCUUAUGUAAUCACUGCCAAGUCUUCUUUUGAAGCAUGGAAUAAAAUUGAGUGCCUUUUUCAAACCCAAGCAAAAUCCCGUGUGAGGCAACUCAAAUGGCAACUUCAUUCUCUUCAAAAAGGAUCUCUUUCUAUUCUCGAAUAUUUUGAAAAGACACGAUCUCUAGCCGAUACCUUAGCCGAAAGCUCUCAAAUUAUCUCGGAUGAUGAUUUUGUCUCAUAUAUUCUCUAUGGUCUUGAUUCGUCUUUUGGUUCUUUUCGCGCAGCUCUCAACCUGCGUGUUGAACCUAUUACUCCCACUGACUUACUCGGACUUCUUCUUCUAGAAGAAGAACAAAUAAAUGAAGAGGCUCAACUUAUUUCAGCUUCUUCCACACCCACUCCCACUGCCAACUUGGCCAGAACUUCCAGGGCACCUGCUUCUGCACAAGCACAGUCCAAUUAUUCACACCAGCCAUCUCAUUCAUCUACCUAUACAAAUUCACGUCCAAAUCGCCGUCGUCCCCAAUGUCAAAUAUGUGGAAAAUCUGGCCAUGAAGCGCUUAAUUGCUACCAGCGCCUUAAUACCACUGCCUACCCUUCCCCCCACACUAAAUUUCUGUCUCCCACAGCCUCUUCACACCCGCCUGUCAUGUCCAAUACCCGUGCACCUUAUUCAGCCCUACAAGCCAACUAUGCUUCUCUAUCUACGAUUGUUGAUCCAUCAUGGUAUUUUGACUCCGGUGCUUCUCAUCAUGUUACUCCAGAUUUGCAACAACUAUCUAUCAACUCAGAGUACUAUGGAGGUGAUCGACUUGUUGUCGGUAAUGGUAUGUCACUAAAUAUUUCGCAUAUUGGCACUAAGAUUCUGUCUGCUAAACCUAAACCUGUCACCCUAUCCGAUGAUCUUGUUGUUCCCAAAUUAACCAAAAGCCUCUUAAGUAUUUCCAAACUUACCCGUGAUAAUAACGUCCUUGUUCAGUUUCAUGCUAAUGAGUGCUUUGUUAAGAAUCUGCAGGGCCAAGCCAUACUUCGGGGAGUCGUUGACGAUGACUUGUAUCGCCUCAUUCCACCGCCUACAUCAAAGUACACCAAACCAUCACCCAUGGUAUUUCUUGGUGAACGCACUAGCUUGCUGGAUGGCACCGUAGAUUGGCGCAUCCUAAUGAAGCCACAUUACGUCAUCUUGUCUCUAGUUAUAAUCUUCGUGUAUCAAAUUUUAGCUUUCCUAGUAUUUGUGCACCUCGUCAAAUGGGCAAGAGUCAUCGUAUUUCAUUAAUUCAUCGUCAUGAGCCAAGUUUGCGUCCUUUUGAUCUUCUGUAUUUCGAUGUUUGGGGUCCUGCUCCAAUCAAUUCUAUUAACGGAACUCAUUACUUUAUUUUAUUCUUGGAUGAUUGUACCAAAUUUAUUUGGAUUUAUUUUAUCCAUCAAAAAUCGAAUGUGCUUACUCUUUUUAAACAAUUUCAUACCAUGGUUGAAACCCAAUUCAGUGGCAAAAUAAAAUGUCUACAAGCUGAUUGGAGAGGUGAAUCCCGUAAUGUUUCUUCUCACCUUCAAUCACUAGGCAUCCUACAUAGAGUUUCAUGCCCCCCACACCGGAACAAAAUGGUGCUCCGGAGCGACGUAAUCGUAUAAUUGUUGAAAAAGGAUUAUCCAUUCUUGCCCAUGCUUCCCUCCCAUUGUCUUUUUGGGAACCAGCCUUCCACACAACAGUCUACCUCUCUAACCGAACCAUCACCUCCAUCCCAAACCACUCGUCUCCUUAUCAAUGUCUAUAUCGUCGUCCACCUGUCUAUGGUUUUUUAGAAUCUUUUGGCUGUCUUUGUUUCUCCUUUCUUUGUCCUUACCGUAGCCACAAGUUUGAAUUCCGCUCUCAACCAUGCAUCUUUAUUGGUUAUAACUCAAAACACAAGGGCUAUAUGUGUCUUCAUGUGCCAACUAAUUGGGUCUAUGUCGCUCGUCAUGUUGCCUUUGAUGAGGAAUGUUUUCCUUAUCAAGACCACCUAAAAACAUCCACUUCCAGAUCCCAUUCUACUUUCUCUACCAUUCCCUCCACACUGCUUCAUCAAGCUGCAUCCCUUCCUUCACCUGUACAGGCUCCAACUCAAUUGUCAACGACUACUCGGGAUGUUGUUUAGCCUUCGACAAGCACACAAGUAAUUACCUCUUCUCAACCUUCAUGUUCUACUAAAUCACCUUCUCCCAUACCUUCUAGGAAUUCUGUUUCACCUUCAAAAUCCCACUCCCUUCCUCCUCAUCCUCUCACCCUUCAACUGCUCCUUCGUAUUUUCGACCACUAGAUAACUCUCACCAUAAAAUGAUAACUCGUUCUAAAACCAAUUCCUUAGCUCCAAAAGCUUUAACCACAUCCAAACAUCCUCUUCCAGUUGAUCCCUUCCCUAUUGAGGAACCCAAAAAUUUUAACCAGGCUUCCAAACUUCCUCUAUGGCAGCAAGCUAUGCAAACAAAAUUUUCUGCUCUUAUGCGAAAUAAUACAUGACAAUUUUUUCCACCUCCGCCUAACUCUAAUGUUGUUGCCUUUGUUGGUUGUAAGUGGGUUUACAGAUAAAGCAUCAUGUUGAUUGUUCCAUUGAGCGCUAUAAAGCUCGUUUAGUGGCUAAGGGGUUUCAUCAAGCGGAAGGAGUCGACUGUUUUGAUACCUUGAGUCCCGUGAUCAAACCAACUACUAUUCGGUUAGUUAUAUCCAUUGCCCUCACCAAAGGCUGGCCUUUACGUCAACUUGAUAUUAAUAAUGCUUUCUUAAAUGGUGAGCUUCAUGAGCAGGUCUUUAUGGAGCAACCAAAGGGGUUUGUCGAUCCUCAAUAUCCAAGCCAUGUCUGUCUCCUAAAAAAGGCUCUUUAUGGCCUUAAACAGGCUCCUCGAGCAUGGUUUACCACUCUCAAAACUUUUCUCAUCUCUCAUGGUUUUAAGUCUUGUCUAUCUGAUUGCUCUUUAUUUGUUCGACAAUCACCUAAUGAUGUCACCUAUAUCCUAGUGUAUGUUGAUGAUCUUAUUGUCACAGGAAGCAAUCCACAGUCCAUUAAUCAAUUUGGUGGAAUACUUCAUGGUACUUUUUCCUUGAAGGACCUUGGACCUCUUCACUUUUUCCCUGGAAUUGAAGUUACCAGAAAUAAAGAUACCAUUCUGCUCACUCAACAAAAAUACAUUCGAGAUGUUCUUCUUUGCGCCAAAAUGGCUGAAGCCAAACCUAUUUCCACUCCAUCUACCCCAGGUUCUCUUCUUGUUCAUGAUGGUGAUCCUUUCGUUGAUCCUCACCGAUAUCAGAGUAUUGUUAGGGCUCUUCAAUAUGCCACUAUUACCCGUCCCAAAAUUUGUUAUGCUGUCAACCGGGUGUGCUAGUUUAUGCAUAAUCCAUCCACCACUCAUUGGGCUGCCGUAAAGCGUAUCUGUCGAUACCUUAAAGAUCAAACCAACUACUAUUCGGUUAGUUAUAUCCAUUGCCCUCACCAAAGGCUGGCCUUUACGUCAACUUGAUAUUAAUAAUGCUUUCUUAAAUGGUGAGCUUCAUGAGCAGGUCUUUAUGGAGCAACCAAAGGGGUUUGUCGAUCCUCAAUAUCCAAGCCAUGUCUGUCUCCUAAAAAAGGCUCUUUAUGGCCUUAAACAGGCUCCUCGAGCAUGGUUUACCACUCUCAAAACUUUUCUCAUCUCUCAUGGUUUUAAGUCUUGUCUAUCUGAUUGCUCUUUAUUUGUUCGACAAUCACCUAAUGAUGUCACCUAUAUCCUAGUGUAUGUUGAUGAUCUUAUUGUCACAGGAAGCAAUCCACAGUCCAUUAAUCAAUUUGGUGGAAUACUUCAUGGUACUUUUUCCUUGAAGGACCUUGGACCUCUUCACUUUUUCCCUGGAAUUGAAGUUACCAGAAAUAAAGAUACCAUUCUGCUCACUCAACAAAAAUACAUUCGAGAUGUUCUUCUUUGCGCCAAAAUGGCUGAAGCCAAACCUAUUUCCACUCCAUCUACCCCAGGUUCUCUUCUUGUUCAUGAUGGUGAUCCUUUCGUUGAUCCUCACCGAUAUCAGAGUAUUGUUAGGGCUCUUCAAUAUGCCACUAUUACCCGUCCCAAAAUUUGUUAUGCUGUCAACCGGGUGUGCUAGUUUAUGCAUAAUCCAUCCACCACUCAUUGGGCUGCCGUAAAGCGUAUCUGUCGAUACCUUAAAGGUACACUUCACCAUGGUCUCCACUUGCGCUCAUGCACUGUCUUCGGCUUGGUAGCCUUCUUGGAUGCUGGUUGGAUCUCUGACCCUGACGAUAGCUGCUCUCAACAUGGAUUGCUCUUAACUAUGGUGGCAAUUUAGUAAGUUGGUGCUCUAAGAAACAAAAGGCAGUCGCUCGCUCUAGUACAGAAGCUGAGUAUCGAGCUCUUGCCUUUGCUACUACCGAGAUUAUUUGGAUCGAGCAACUUUUAAAGGGCAGCCCGGUGCACUAAAGCUACCGCUAUGCGCAGUUUUCGGGGAAGGGCCUCACCACAAGUGGUGUAUCGUACGCAGCCUUACCUUGCAUUUCUGCCAGAGGCUGUUUCCAAGGCUUGAACCGUGGCCUCUUGGUCACAUGGCAGCAACUUUACAGUUACUCCAAGGCUCCCCUUUGGAUCGAGCAACUUUUACCUGAAUUAAAUGCUCCUCUUACACAACCUCCAAUUCUACUGUGUGACAACUUAAGUUCUACCUUUAUCUCUGCUAAUCCAGUCAUUCAUCAACGGUUGAAACACAUCAAGCUUGACUAUCAUUUUGUACGGGAGAAAGUAGAUGAUAAUUCACUUGUUGUUCGCUUUGUUAGCUCUCAAAAUCAAAUAGCAGAUAUCUUUACGAAAGCGCUUGGUGCAACUCGUUUCAAUCUGUUGAGAUCCAAGCUCCAGAUCCACUUGCCAGGGGGUAUUAACUGAAAAUCUCUCAUAGCAGCCUUGUUCCUAAUUUCUCUAUAAUAUUAUAAUAUUGAAUAACUGAUGUAUUUUAUAUUAUUGUUAUUUGUUGUGUAUAUCUUAGUAGGUAGAUUAGAGAGAAUAUAGGAUUUGCAUUUAUCCUUUUAAAGGAUUGAUGUGCACAGUCAAAUAACAUCUUCCUCUCGGCAGAAGUUUUAACCGAGAGUCUGCGAACUCCAUUAUUCUCCCAUCGUUUAUAUUUUUACAGUGUGACACUUAAUUUUCUUUGGUGAUCAAGCAUAGGAUCGUUGUACUAAAUACUACUAAUUUUUUUUUUUUUUGAUAACCGUGGUAUCCGGGCCAGCAUGCGCGCACCUCGACUAAGUCCACGGGAUAUGUGCCACCUCCCACCAGCAACCGGUACCAGGUAACCUAAAUACUACUAAUUUUCCCCUUCCAACAUAACAGUGGCAUAUAUUGUUCUUAUGAGAACAUGUCUUUUUGCCGAUAUACUCUCUCUACGAGGUAGGGGUAAGGUCUACCCACCCCAGACCUCACUUGUGGGAUUACAGUCGGUAUGUUAUUGUUGUUGAGAACGUAUGGGCAAGAUGUUGUAAAUGAUGGUGAUUGGUGGGUCAAUGCUUGUGCAGCGGUUGAAAGGAAGUAAAAGAUAAAUCACAUGUAUCUUGUUCGCCUUUGGGAGGCACUGGUGACAAUGCUUUUGUGGUCGCCAUAUAAAUGUGUAAAUGGUCAUGUAUGCAAGUAACAUUGGAGAGACUCAAGUUUGUCUAAUUGUGUAGCUUCAAGUGGCAAACUGGGCACAGAAAUGGCCAAUAUCUACGCCCAACCCCCGAUAAAAAGUGGAGGAAGUUGGUUGUUCAGUCUUCUAGAGCCUCUUUUAACAGCCUCUUCCCCUGGAAAACAGUUAGGGUGGAAGUUGGUUGUGUUUAGUCUCGUAGAGCCUCUUUUAACAGUCUAUUCCACGAAAAACAGUUAAGGUGGAAGUUGGGUGUGUUUAGUCUUGUAGAGCCUCUUUUAACAGUUCCGUCCCCCCAGAAAACAGUUAAGGGUGGAAGUUGGUAGUUUAGUCUUGUAGUGUGUCUUUUAACAUUUCCUCCAAAUUUGUGCUUUGUUGAUUGGCCUCUUUUCCAAAUAAACCGAACCUCGAUACCACAUUCAUCUUAAGAACUAGUUCAUAAUAUGGUAUAAUUAGUUUUUGUUGAACAAAAAUUUGUGGUUUGAUUUGCUUGAGCAUACUCCUUCAUGUAACAUCUGGUUUACUUCUGUCUCUCAAACCUGAAUAAACAUGUAUCUGGCCCUGUCGUAUUUUCUCUUGUUAAAAACUCUCACAUAAGGUAGGAUACAGAGUGUUGGUCCUUGUAAAUUACUGCUAUAAACAUUACAUAAGCUGUCAUUGAAAUAUUCCUGGGAUUUAUGAUUGAAUUUCCUCCAUUAUGAAUUUGAAUUUGCAACAUAACUUUCUUCUUGCUCGUUCAACCAAAGUAGAAUGAUGUCUUUUAACUUGCCAAAUGAGUAGUAAAGACUUGUUCUUUGCUUCUGCCUUUAAAGCACAUUGUUGAUAAGAUCUUUGUUCCCCCUGGUGGUGCUAAUAGUUGUAGACUUGUAGUAGUAAUGACAUUAUUAGGCCUUCUUCCUCUGAUUUUCUUAACCUUUAAUGCCUCGCAGUCUCUUGAGAAGGAAUUUGGGUUAUAAGGGAGGUUAUCAUAUGUGUCCUCUCAUUGAAGAAUUUUCAUCAAUGAACAUUUUUCAUUUGAAUUGAUUCAAUUUCCUUCCAUCUGUCACUGCCAGAUGAUGCUAAGCAUUAUGUAAUGCUUAACUUUGCUACUGCUAAAGUUGAUGAUAAUGUUUACACAUUUAAGCUUUAACGUAGUUUUUGUUAGAGAAGUUAAGAAUAGUCUAAUGAGUAACGAUAGCUCUUCCAGAGGUUAUAAAUAGUUACCAUCUUUUCUUCCCAUAUGUUCUAGCCUUGAUGGACAUAGUUAUCUGGCAUUUGUUGCGAUAUCUGUUGCUGGUGGGAGGUGGCGGGUAUCUAAUGAAUUUAGUCGAGGUGUGUGAAAGAUGGCCUGGACACCAUGGUUGUGAAAAAAUAAAUACUUACCAUCCUGUGAGAUUACGGCAGUUUUUAUGAAUCUUGAGAGAUUAAGGUAGUUUUUAUGAAUUUAUUUGUUAUUUCAGGCAGCCAAGGACAAUUGGUCCCAAUGCUAUGGCAGUUGAUGACUUGACACAAUACAGAUGAUGGAGUCUCCACCAUCUCUAGUCCAGUUUUUGCCAGGUACUGAUCAAGAUUAUGUCUUGGCAUUGUUACUUUACAUGGACUGGUCUCAGCAGGCUUGUGAAGUUCUGGCCAUUAUUACCCACCACUAGUGUCGUAUAUCGUUGGAUUUCUUACUCCAUUUUCCCUUUAGAGGGUCUGUCGGAAACAACCUCUCUACCUUUGAGGUAGGGGCACACUCUAACCUUCCCCAUACCCCGCUAUGUGGAAUGACACUGGAUAUGUUGUUGUUGUUGUUGUUGUUGUUGAUGAUGAUGAUGAUGUUAUUUAUUCCUGCAGCAAUGAUGAAUAGUAGUACUACUAGAAUAUUAUAGUAUAGAUUGGGCAUAGAGUUAUAACCCUGUAUCCCCUCUUCAGACUCUCCCUCUCACUGAUCAGAGGAUUCAUUUUCUACCGGAAUGGACAGGCGCUUAGUGAAGACACUCAUGCCAAUUCGGAUACACGCCAAAGCAUUUCAUACAAUCGGAUUGAAGGAGUCAUCGAUCACUUGAAGGAGUCAUCGAUCACUUGAAUUUCAUUUUAGAUUCAAUUUUUUUCAUUUUUCUCUUCCAAUUUCCUACCUUUUUUUUUUUUUGUGUCGCCCAUUUUCACCUGUUACAACGAGAGAGCAUAUGAUAGUGAUGAUCAUCUGCAGAAUUGAGUUGGGGAUAUGGUUUUAAUUCAGUGUUGGGUUUUGAAGCGAUGUACUUGGAUUUGUGCAAAUUAGAGAUAUGUAGCAACUCUAGAUUGCUGAGAGAGGCUUUUCUUUGACAUUGUUUAUCAAGAUGUUUGUGUAAUCUAUUCUCCAUACAUGCUUAUAAAGAGACUUUUUGCCACAAUGUGUUGCAAGUUAAUUACUUGUAUAAUGGGCGUAAUAUCUUCACCAAAGUAUAAUAAAUAAGGUAUUAUACAAGUUAAUUACUUGUAUAGCAGGCGUAAUAUUUGGAUUGAAGUAUAACAAAAGGGGUACUUUAGAUCGACAUAUGAGGCAUAUAUUUAACUAUUUUGAAUUGCACUGAUGUAUGUUUGGGCCCAUUUCACAGUAAAUAUUCAGAGGAUUCUGUAGAAUGGAAUUUUUGGAGUAAUCGAUAAAAGCUUUAAAUUUCCUCAAGAGAUAACUUCGGUCUUAUUUGGCUUAGAUUUAUUUUGUAGCGUUUGAGUAAAAUAAAAAGAUAGUAUCGUUAAGCGCUUACUUUUAAGCAAAUAAAGUUAAAAAUAAAUCUUUCUAAUUGUACUGAUGUAUAUUUGGCCCCUUUUCAAUGUAUAUAGUGUAGAUUGAAUAAGGAUAUUAUAGAAGGGGAGUUUUGGACCAACUGUCAUCGUGAUGGAGUAAAAUGUAUAUAAUGUGAUUCAAUAGUCAAUGCACUGAAAAAAUAUGAGGUUUUCAGCUUUAAAUUUCCACAAGAGAUAACUUCAAUCUUGCUUUGCUUAAACUUAUUUUGCAGCGUUUGAGUAACAUAAAAAGAUAUCAUUAAGUUAACAUAAAAAGACUUUUAAGCAAAAAAAAAAAGAUAAAAAUAAAUAAAAAAUGGUAAGAUAAAAAUUUUAACUCACACUUACAAAUCAAAGCUAUAAAUCCUUCCAAACACAGCUCUCUUCACCUGAUUAGUCUCAAGUGCAAUCAAAACGUAGUCACUUGACUUGCUAUAUAACGCUCCACCACAGAAGAAGCAAAAUAUCAAAUUAAAAUUUGAGGUAAAUAUAUUACCUUGAAUUAAAACAUUCUUUCUAGAACUAAAAAAAAUAAAAAUAAAGUAGAAUUUCAAACGUAAUAUAUCUAAGUUGAAUCUUCGAAAUUUUCGCUCCAGCAGGUAUCUCCUUUCUUCCUUUUGAUUAUGACUGUUGUAUUUAGCGAAUUUAUUUAAAUUCGUUUGAUUGAAUUAUGGAUGGUAAAUUGUUGUUAUUUUGCUGCUGCAUUCUAAUUUAUUUUGUUGUUGUUUAGUAAAUUUAUUUAAAAUCGUCUGCUGGUAAUUUGGAGUAAGUAUAUGAACUGCCGUCAAUCUGUUUGUGAAAAUGCCUUUUCCUUUGAAUUGAUUAAUUAUAUCUAAACUAACAUUUUACUACUCACUGUAAUUGAAUUUGAUUCAUUGGGUCAUGGUUACAACAAGGACAACAACAUACCCAGUGUAAUCCCGCAGGUGGGGUCUCAGAAUGGUAGAAUGUAUGGACCUUACCCCUCUACAAAUCAGUGGUGGAUCCAGGAAUUUGAUGAAGAGUGUGUAAAUUUUCUUUUCAGUCGCGUUAGACGUGUGCAACAUUAAAUACACACUCAUAAUAACUAACGUUUAGCCUAGGUAUACAACACAGACGAAGGGUGUGCAUCUAAUCACGUUUUGAUAUAGGUAACUCCGCUGAUGCUCUACUUCGGUGAGGUAACCCUUGGCUCAAGGGUCAUGGUUCUUUCAAGAAACCAUUUUUGGGGUUCUUCGGGGAAUUUAUUACCGUUCUUUUUAAAUUUAUUUACAACAAGCUAGAUUUGUGAAUAAUUUUUUUUUUUUAUAAGAACUUCAAUUGUCUUUCUAAUUUUUUUUUCGCACUGUUGGUGAAUGGUUGCUUCCUGUAUGAAACCUUUAUACUUUAUCAAUUGAUGGGGUUUCUGACUUCCUUUGUGUAUUUAGCAGGGGUUGUAUAAUGGCUUUAAGGCGUAUGCUUGGGUAUUCGGAUGGAGAGUUGAUGAGAUCAGAUGCAAAACCCUGCUCAAGGCUAAUGAGACAAACAGCAGGGAUUUUUUCUGUUGGAGGAGCAUUGGGAUUUUGGAUUCUUUGCAGAUUGCACUAUGGUUAGUUAUAUAUUUGUCGUUCGAUCCAUUUAAAUCUCCUGAUGGCUUAUCCUCGUUUUUUCAAGUUUUUUUGAGUUGUUUUUAAGUUUCAAGAGCUUUCGAGUAUAUCAUGUUAUUUUGGACCUAGGAAUUCAAUGUGCAGUUUUUGCAAGGAGAAUAAAAUGAGAAGAGAAAUGCAGUAAACGAAAUUCCGAUCUCUAAAUUCACAACAAUUAGAACGUGUGUUUGUUUGAUAGAUCUCCAAGUAUUGAGUAGUGUGGUUGCUUUAUCAAGUACUAAAAAGGCUUAAUGCCAAUUAUAGGCAUGUUGGUUUGAGAAAGAAAACUUGAUAAAAUUUGUCCUCAGUAUAUGAAGUACUGAUAGAGCUUGUUGUUCUGCAAGUGGAUUGGAUUGUCGAGAUUUCUUUUACCUUUUCUUUUCAUCAGCUAAACUUUCAAAGUAUUCUCAAGUUUAAAGUUGCAACUUCUAGGCCGUUAAAUCUUCCGCCAUGUGUUUUGCACGCUGUAUCCUUGACAUCCUUAACUUACAAGCAAAAGGGUCGAUCAAUUGAUUAAUCUUCAUCUAUUUUUUGGGUAAGGAUGGGCAUUAUGACUGUUCAAUAGACUUGAACAAUGUUUUGGUUGUUGUAUAGGCAAUGGGGUGGAAAAGAGAGGAAUUGGGCAGCAGAGUUGUGCUUCUUAGUUUGUCUUCUGCCAGUCUGGAAGUAUAAUGCAAGAAAUACUUCCCGAGGUUAAAGAAGAAAGCAUAUUGGGUGAGACAAGGUGGAAAGAGAGAGUCAAGAGGACAGUAAACUUAGCGUGCUUUUCAUAUAAGGAGUUAAGUUCUUAUUGACCUCUGAUUAUUUAGAUCUUUUUGCUGCUAGAAAAGCUUUAAAUGCAGCAACGAAGAGACAAAUAUCACCAGCAUCCUAUAGACUUGGGAAUUUUAUGUGCUUGCAUGUAUUUGACAUUCUCAAUUAGUGAGUUUUGAUAUUUGUACGUCAUCCCAAAGUUGUUGAUUGACUGCUGGAAUGAUUUUUGAAUUUUGAUAGAUGAGAAUAUUGUUGCAUCAAUUUCCUGUAUUCUACAAUUCUUUGUGCUUUUCUCCUCUCAAUCCUCCCUCCUUCGACUUCGUUGAUUAGUACUUUAGUACUGAGCUCUGAAGGGCAUGCUUUCUAGAUUAUCUUGUCUUGAUUAUUGCACGUCAUUCUUUUUCUGAUAUUGCAUCUCGUACCCUGAUAAAACAGGUCCUAGAAUCACAGUUCCAAGAAGUCUUAGAUGGGCAACUUGUGGGGCUAUUUCCGUGAGCUCAAGCACAGCUUUGCUAGUUCGUCUAUUUAGUCCUGAAUGUGAACCACAAAACAUAGCUGCCUACGAUAAGAAGGGAUGAUGUUGCUUUUCUUCCGAGAUCAGUAUGUAAAACUUAAGCAUGAUGAUGUCCUAUUUCAUUUAUGUCAAAGCCAUUUAAGGCUUCUCCUUCCACAGGCAUCACACGUACGGCUGCCUGUGUUAGCAAGGGGAGAACACGCAGCCGUAAAUGCUAAACUAUUUUCUGAGAGCCUUUAUUUGCUACCAACUGUUGUAUCAACUUCUAUCGAGUAACAAUGCUGCAAGCAGUUGUGAAGUGAUGCUUAAUCUGUCUAAGUUUUCUACUUACAACCAAUUCUGUCAUAUUGUGUGAAUGAUUUAUCAUUUGGCUUAAGCUUCCAAGACUACACUUCAGUAAGAUCUUACUACUGUUUCUUUAAUUUUUAAAUAUUGAGAUCAAAUACAUUUCAUUAGUUGGUCUACUCGAACAUUAAGACCCUGUCUGGACAUGAUUUGAAAUCAGCAAUUAGUAAUUUGAAGUUUGAAGUUUUGUUUGGACAUGUAAUGUGAAUUUUGUAAUUUGUAUUUUUUCGCUCAUAAGCAUGAAAAUUCUGUAAGUUGUGAAAACUACGAAAAUUUUCAAUUCUCAUAUAAUCUUACCAAAUGUGGAAAUCAUAGUUCAUAACACAUGAUAUCAGAAUAUCUUUAGGUGCCGCAUUGAAUAGAUCACAUAUCUCCUUGUCCUUUUUAUAAAUAAAUAUUUAUGAUUACAAACUUUUAAAUAUACAUAAUCAUAUAAUUACAAAGUUUUAACUAUAUGCAUAACUUUAUAAAGAUUGAUUAGUCAUUUCAUAUGGCACAAUAAUUUCCAUGCUGAGCACGAGUUUCUAUUUUUUAAUUUUAAAAAAGUUUAAGAAUGAUGCGAUUUUUCUUGCAAAAAAUAAACUUAUGGAUUAAGUUUUAUAUUUUUAAAAAUUAAAAUCGCAUUUGUAAUUUCAAGUCCUGCAUCUUAGAUUUGAAAUUUGAAAUCAUUAUAUCAAAUCACAUAUUUAAAAGCUAAUUUCAAAUCACGACUUCAAAUUGCAUAUCGAGAAAAUUACUUAUAAAUCUUACAACAAAUACUAGCUCUUUAAUACUUACUCCCUCCGUUUAUAUUAUUUUUCAUAUUUAAACUUGAAAUGUUUAUUAAAAAAUAAUAACUAAAAUAAUUGUCUUAUCAUGCUAUAUCUAUUAGAUGAUGAUAUUUAGAGGUCAAGUAAUUAAUAUUUAAACUAUCAAACAAAAGUGAAAAUCUAUUUUUUGAAAUAGUUAAGAAGCAAAAGUGAAGGAAAUACAUCAUCAUCCAUUUAAUUGUUGGGAAACUACAAGGUGUAUUUUCGUCAAUUCAACCAAAUCCUCAUUUUGGCCAUAUGCUUGCGUCACUGAAGUGAGCAGAGUGUGUCCACAACAAUGGGGACCGCCGGAGCUUUCUUCUCCGUUCCUCUGAACUACCAAUUCUACCGCCGGCCACUUCAUUUUCAACCUCUCUUCCUCCUCCCUAUCACUUGGCCACUCACACCUUUCUCUCGUAAACAAGUAAGCUUUUACCUUCCUCAUUCUCCACUUGUGUUUUCAAUUAUUAGUAAUUUUAGAAAAGGCCACCUCCUCCGUGCACUGAAUCUCCCGCUAUACGCACGGUCCGUGGAAGGUCAAUUUUACUAUUUAUGAACUCUGUUACUUUUUUUUUUUUGUUUUUUUUUUUUAGAUUAUUAAAUUAUAUUGCCGUCGAAGCUCCGGUUCAAGGCUCUUGUUAACUCCUCCGCGUGCUUUACUUUCAAGGCAAUCACGAGGUGUUACUUUUUAAGUGCUUUACGAUUUUUCUCUUUAUUGCUGGUAGUUUUACUGUGAAUAUUCUUAUGAAUGUGUGAAAAAAAAUUAACUACAGAGGGGAGAGGCAGCAGUGAAGUUGAUCCGGAUCUUCGGUCCGUGCUUGAACUUGCUACUGAUUCUGAACUGUAUGAACUUCAAAGGAUUUUAUUUGGUCCAAGGUAAUAAGCAGUUGCAACACUUGGUAGCUCAUUAGGAAGUAAGUUAUUCAUAAAUAAUGAUAUGUUUGCAAUCUAGGAACCUGCAUAACUGAUACAUGUAUAAGUUAUGAGGGAACUUGUGUAUUAUUUUAUGUGCGGUAGAAGAUGGAAUAACUAAUACCUGAAUUACUAAUAUUUGCAUAAUUCUAACCAGCUACCAAACAAACCUCCUUUUUUAUUGAAAAAUAAGGUGCUUUGCUCAUUCUAAACAACUUUUCGUUGUGUAUCUUUUAUGUUUCAGUUACUUUAGCCCAAUGUUGAAGUCUGUAACAAAGAGAACUGAAUUUGAUUGUGUUAUGGUCGGAGAAGACCCGGAGGAGAGAGCGGAUUUUUUGUCAAUGCUUGAAUCAAGAUUUUUAUACCUUGCUGCUGAUGCACGAUCCACAUUGAGGUUGCUCUAUUUCUUUUAUUUAGAAUACUUGUAUUUUAAUUAGAACUAGGUUAUGUAAUCUAGUUCUGUGCUUUACUAUGAGUUUGUGUGGUAUCUCGUGACUUGAGCCGGGUCUAUCGGAAACAACCUUUCUACUUCUUUAGAGGUAGAGGUAUGGACUGCGUACAUCUUACCUCCCCCAGACCCCACUAGGUGGGAAUACACUGGGUUUGUUGUUGUUGUUGUUGUAAUUAGAACUUUAAAAUGUUCUCAGUCCAAUUAGACCAAUGCAUGUUAUCCUCAUUGUUCGAACCUGAUCUUUGUGAUAGUAUUUGUGUUGUUUAUGUAAAUUACAUGGAUUCUCUCUGGAAAUUAUCAAUCAUCAUAACUCAAGCUAUUGACAGCUCAUUAUUAAAGGAUUCUGUGGGUUCAAAUGGGAGUGAUGUUUAUUGGUUGCUUGUGGAAAGGUAGACUUUGAUAAUGAAACCGAAAUAACUGGUGGUCGUCAUCCGAUUCAUCUCUAGUUUGAUGAUUUUUGAAACUGAAAUAAGUGGUGAUCAUCACCAGACUGUUCUCUAGUUUCAUAUAAAGAAUGGUUUGCCAUUUCCUAACCUUCAGCAUGGUUCGUUUUUUCCGUUCUUAUUUUGUUUCAGUAUAUGAGUGAUUGAUGUUGUUUGGUAUUCAAUCUAGGGGUAGGAGACCAUCAUAUAGGGAGGUAUUGCUUGGUGUCAGGGAAAAACUAAGUAUAAGAUGCUCAGCCAAAUUGUCUGCAGAAGACCUGGAAGCUGAGAUUUUUCUUCAUCUGCUUCAAGAGUACUCAAGGUAAAUCAUUUUCCUUCUGUUUUCUUUGAAAAAGGAUGGUGUGACUGAGGAGAGAGACUUUCUUUAUAUUGUUUUGUUAUUUUGAGAUGUUUAUGCUAGUUAUUUCACAUACUCUCUCAGUCUCAAUUUUUAGAUGAUGCUAAUAUUUUAGUAGGUGUAAAAUAUAUAAUGCUUAUUUGACUCGUGUUAUACAAAUAAUAAAGAAGAUUUUCAGAUAGUGAUUGAAGAAUUAGUUUGAUAGAAAAAUACUACCCUACAAUUAUAAAAGUUUAAAUUGGAUUAGUAAAAUGAAUUUAAGUCUGAAACUUGUGAAAGUUGUAUAGAAUGAUGUUACUAGUGGAUUUCAUCUUUAAAAAAAUGAUGUUACUAGUGGAAUGUUGUGAACAUUUUAGGUUGUCGGAAAAUAGAAAUUGUCCUAUAAAUUGGGACAUUUAGAUAGUUUUUAUGGGUUUCUCCCUCUCGAUAUCAUUUUCCUUUCCGAUUAGUUCCAUUGGGUUCGUCAAGUUUGUCAGAUUGAUUGACACAACAAUUGACCAGUUAUCCCUUCUAUUAGAGUGGGUGAAAGUCCCUCAUUGGUUGGGUAAUAAACUGACAGUUUGCUUAUAUGAACUUGGGCUAUCCUCCCCUCAUGAGCUAGCUUUUGGGGUUGAGUUAAGCCCAGGUGCCGUAUCUUUACAUGAUAUCUGUGCCAGGUCCUUCCCCAAUUUGGUUCCCGGUCCACGCUCUAGUUGCGCCUGGGCGUGAGUGGGGUGGGUGGGGGGAUUAGAGUAGGUGGAAGUCCCACAUUGGUUGGGGAAUGGAUUGAUGGUUUGCUUAUGUGAACUUGGGCAAUCCUCCCCUCAUGAGCUAGCUUUUGGGGUUGAGUUAGUCCUAGGUGCCAUAUCUUUACACCUUUAUUCUCCAGUUUCUAUGUAGGAGGUUUCUUUUGAUUUCUUCUUUUGCUGUGAUUUAUUCUCUUUCUUCUCUUUAUUGGAAUCGUGACUCUUAUAUGGAGCUUAUGUGACGAAUAUAUAUCUUCAACAGCUCAGAAGAAAGCUUGGAUGCUUCUGAUGGGCAUGGUGGUCUAGAAUUUGGGCUUAGUAAGUGGAAAGUACAAGCUGCUGCCGCAUUAAAAGCUGGGGCAGAAGGGGUCCGUUCAAUAAUAUUAAAGGUUCCUACUUAUAUUUUGGAAACUUGUAGUGCUCUUGAGCCUUUUGGUUAUGCUUUAGCUAACCCGUUCUUUGUGUUUUAGGGUGGCGGGGUGCUAACAUUGGGGAAGAUAUACAGUGGGGUAUAAUUGAUACCUUGUGAAUUCUGCAAUUUGUUUUCCUUAUCCUGUACUGUCAUCUUGUUUAAUCACGGAAAAUGUUUACUGCUUGUCUAGUUAGCCAGGAGAUUUUCUGGAAAGAUGCUAUUGGAAGCCGCCAACUAUCAGAUAAGUAAGGAGGUCCUUAAAAAGGUGCUUAAAAGUCCUAAGUUUGUUGGGGACAAUAGCUGACUCUAGACAUUUUAAAUGGGUCUCUUUACUGUUCCUGAGCCAAUUGAUGUGCUCUAUUCCUAAAUCAGUUAGUGUGCUGUAACAUUUGAAUCUAUAUGCCUUUUUAAGUGUGAAAUACGAUCUUAAUUUGGCUAACCAUUUAUAUAAUUAUAUAUAUAAAUGGUUUUUGGCAUCUCUUUAAUCCAGUUUUCUUGUUUAAGGAUUUUGUUUGAGAAUGAAUGCAUCCGAAAGUUGAGUAGUCUUGGCAUUGUGAUGGUACAUUAAGACUUUCUUGGAUACAUCUGCUAAAGUAAGGUUUGUUGGAUGUCAAGAAAUUUGCUAGAAAUGUGGAUUUGAGAAAAUUGUAAUAAGUAGAGAUAAAUAAAUGAAAUAUCAUUUGUUUCAUGCAUUUGUUCAGAAUAAAAGGAAAGCUUAAAAUCAAGAGGAAAUCAGUUUCCUAAAUUAAUCCUGCAAAUUUCGCAAGACUUAAUUUGAAGGAAAAUCCUUUACGAUGGAUUUUCUUGAUCAUAAUUUCUAAAAUGUUCCAGGAUAUGAAAUACAUGAAAAAGUUCAAGGUUAGAAAGUUGACUUUCCAGAAAAUUGCUUUUCAUAUGUAGCAACCAAACCGUGUUUUAACAAAAAUCUCUUUGCUGGAAGUAAAAAAAGAGUGGAGACAGUUCUUUCACCAACAGAAGUUCUUUGGCAAACCAAAUACAAAUAAUAAUCAAGUCUCGGCUGCAUUGCAUUGAUUAUUGGAUGAUUUAUAAUAACUAACUUGUGAUUCUCUCACAUGACUUUCAUGGCUUCACGUGACUCUUGUUGAUUUUAGGGUGGAGAAUUGGCAGCUCUUAACCUGGAGUCCAGAUUGGCCUUGCUGGCUGCAAGAAAGGUUUUUGAAUCUUAUGAAUAUGCAUUGAUUUGAGUGUUUACGAUUCUGCUUCACUACAGAAGAUUACUGUCUUUAGUUGUUUUACUGCUCCUAAAGUCCAACAGAGACCUCUAUAGAAAGAGUGGUCAUAUUUUUUCUUUUUCGUGAAUGAUGCAACCUCAUACUCCCUAAUUUUCUGGAAUUCUCCACACUUUGUAUGUGCAUUUUAGUUGAAGGUAGUUAAUCAUUCUAAAGCUUAUAAAUACUGAAUUAUAGGUUAAAUGACAUCCUCAUACAGAUCAACCAAGAUAAAUGAAAAAAUAAAAAUGUAGACUUGGAAAGACCCUUCAAUAAUAUAAGUUCCUGAAACCUAUAGUGAUGGAGUUUGUAAUUCUCUUUCUGGCUCCGAUUCGAAAACUAUGAUUUCUUUAGAGUUCCAAGUACAUGCUAACAUUUCAUUGUUAUUGUUUUUUGACAGGGCUUAGCUGGUGCUGCCUCCCGUUAUUUUGGCUUAAGGAGCAUGAUGACAUUUCUUGGCCCAAUGUAAUCUCAUUUCUGUAGGCACUCUGCCAUGUCUUUCACUAUUUUAGUUUCUCAAAACUAUUUGCACACUUGUUUAUAUCUGCUUUAGUGAUCACUUAGUUCUUCUCCUUCCUUCCUUUUAACUAAAGUUUCUGUAGCAUUAGUGUCAACUGUCAAUUUUAGAAGUUCUGUCAUCAGAGUACUAAUCUCUUUUCUAUAAAGAGAGGUACUGGAACAAAAAUCCUCUUCCUUCAGUUGUAGGAUCGACGGCAGAUGUGUUGCUCCCAUUCAUGUCAAUCCACUAUGCUCGAUGUGUUUAGCUGGACCAGGUGAUUUUUUUAGAUUUAAGAGUCCUCAUCUAAUAAAAAAGAGAAUCAUGCCAUUAGAAAAAGGGUUCAACAACUUAUCUACUUAUAAGUUUGAGAACCCUCAAUGUUAGAAAACCUUAAGAUGGUCAAAUAAAAGGGCUGAAUCAAAGUUUGGAUGGUUAGAUGGGUGGAUUCAAUAAUUUGGGUAUGAUUCAACCUGGUCAAAGUUUGUUAGGGUUAAAUGAGUUAGGUCAAGUUGGACGAAGCGGUGGGUCAUAACUAAUGGAGCAUGUAUUCCUAUUGAUAACUGAGAUAUGGAAGAUCAGUUUAGUGAUUUAGUUUCUAUUUAGGAGAAGAUCACAAUUCUUUAUUAGUUGAUUCUUUCCUUAUUAGUUCAUUCUCUACAUUUAUAUGGUAUCAAAGCCAAAAUACUCUUAACAGAGUCCAAGAUCCAUUUUUUUUUCUUCUUCUUCUCUUUGCAGUGAUGGCCUCUUAUGCCCCCGUCAUUAAUGCCGACGCAGCCCCUAUCCUCAAACACUUGAUUCAAUUUAAUCCAUCAUCCCAGCUGCCCAUUAAACUGACUGGCAGCACUAAUUUCACCAUCUGGAAAGCCCAGAUUGUCAUGUUGCUUCAUGGCCAUGACCUCUAUGGUCAUCUUGAUGGCACCAUGCUGCCCCUGCUCAAACAAUAACAACUAACGGCCUUGAGACAGCCAACCCUGCGUACAAGGAUUGGUUUCGUCAGGAUAAAUUGAUCCAAAAUGCUCUCAUGGCCUCUGUAGAUGCCACAAUCGCACCCACGGUAGCUUCUGCUAUCAACUCCAAAGCUGCGUGGGAUCAAUUUCACACUUCCUUUGCAAACAAAUCGCAAACCCGCGUCUUCAGCCUUCGUCACCAUCUCAAUCGAGUCAGUAAGGACAACAAAUCCAUUGCCGAAUAUAUGCGAGAGAUUCGCUCUCUCUCUGACAGGUUCACCCUUCAAUAAUGAAGAACUAGUGGUGAAAAUACUAAGUGAACUCGGGUCAAAAUUCCGCGAGAUCUCUGCAGCCAUACGGGCAAGGGACUCUCUUAUUAGCUAUGAAGAACUUUUUGACAAGGUUCUUGAUCAUGAACUUUUCCUCAAAUAUGAGGACCUCAAGAAGACUUCUACCCAGAUCACAGUAGCUGUUGCUCAACGAGUGCCAAAUCCUCCAUCAGCUCCAUCAGCCACACGCAACAAUAAACGCCCAUCCAACAACAAUAACUGGCGUCCCCAAUACAGGUAGCCUAAUCAAAGCACUCAUUCUCAGUAUCUAACGGAUAAUUCCCAGUGGCGCAAUCCAAUGGAUAAUUCUCAGUGGCGUAACUUCCGACACCAUUCAUCACGAGUACGUUGUCAACUUUGUGACAAAUUUGGGCAUACAACAAAUGUUUGCCGCUCUCGGUCCCAUAACCACUUUGAAGCAAAAGCAAAUUUUGCCGCGCACUCAACACCGAGUGACCCUGGAUUCUUGACUCAGGUGCUUCUCACCACAUUACCUCGGAUACCAACUCAUUCCAUAAUGUUCAAGAAUUCAAAGGUCUGGACGCAGGGACAAUGGGCUAUGGUAAUGUGAUUCCGAUUACUCAAACUGGUAAUACUCACUUAACUGCAUCAAAUACUGCCUUCAAACUCUCUAGGAUUUUGUGUGCUCCAGCUAUCAAACGCAAACUCAUUUCAGUUCAUCAAUUUUGCAAAGAAAAUCUAACCUCCAUAGAAUUUUUUCCUUUUACUUUUCUUGUGAAGGAUUUGACUACGGGAGCACCUCUUCUGCACGGCCCGAAUAAAGCAGGUCUCUAUGAAUGGCCGUCUCUGACUCGACCAAACAUCAACAUUGUCAUUGUUGGACCUUCCUUGCAUCUUUGGCAUCGAAGAUUGGGCCAUCCCCACUCUCGAGUUUUGCUUUCCAUUUUAAAUAGUUCCAGUCUUUAAUAUUCUUCAAAAGACAAGUUUACUUAUUGUAAUUCUUGUUGCUGCAAUAAAGUUCAUAGAUUUCUCUUUUAUUUCAAACACUUUGUCCAACAAACAUCCAUUAGAAAUAAUUUACAGUGAUUUAUGGGGUUCAUCCCUGAUCUCUCUAUUGAUAAAAAAUACUACUAUUGUCUAUUUGUUGAUCAGUACACCAAAUACAUUUGGUUGUACACAAUGAAAAACAAACAUGAAGUGCAAAAACACUUUCAAAGCUUACAUCCUGUGCUUGAAAAAUAUUUUGGUCACAAAAUUCUCACACUUUACACUGAUGGAGGCGGAGAAUAUAAAGUCAUGGAACCAUACCUUAAUUCUAAUGGCAUACAACACCUUGUCUCUCCCCCCCCAUACUCCUCAAAGGGUUGCCUUGGCUAAAAGACGUCAUCGACACCUUAUUGAGACUGUCAAAACGUUGCUUCAUCAAACAAGUUUGCCCUGCAAUUUUUGGACAUUUGCCUGCCAUCAUGCUGCCUUUCUCAUUAAUCGCCUACCCACUGCCACUCUUGAUAACAAGUCCCCAUUUGAAGUUCUUUUCAACAAAACACUGCUUAUGAAUCUCUCCAUACAUUUGGAUGUCUAUGCUACCCAUGGUUACGACCCAAAAUAAAUUAGAACCAUAUUCCAAACCUUGUGUUUAUCUCGAUUUCUUCGUCACUCAUCAUUGCCAUCAGUGUUUUGACCCUACCAGCUCUAAACUUUUCUCUCAUGGGAUGUAAAAUUUUUAGAAGUUUUCCCAUUUGAUAAUAUUUUUUCUCACUUGAAACAAAGCUUUUCAUAUUUAAAUUGGGGAAACACUUUACAACAUCAAAAUCCAGAUGUGGAAAUUAGUUCCACCGUUAUUAAUCCAGAUCUCACCUUGCUUCCUCCCACUAUUCCGUUCAGGCCAGGUGCACGCCAAGAUACCUGCUCAGUUCGCGCCGCGCAGGGAAAUAACCCAGAGAGUCAGAUCAUUUCACCACUCCGGAAUCAGGUAAUCCUUAAACUACUUCCCUAUCCCGUGUUAUUGAUACCCAACCAUCCCACUUCAUAUUUCAAAGCCAACCCCCUACCCUCUCUCUGCAUCCUCACUCUCUAUAUCACCGACCACCAGUUACUCAUGUCUAUCAGCGUCGCCCAAAGCCAUCACGAUCCCUCCAUGCGGACAGAGGUGCGAGCAGUUGCUCUCUUGACUUGCCUCCACCCACUGAACCCAUAGUUCAAGUUCCACAAAUAGAGCAAAAUCAUGUAGUAACAAGGUCGCAAAAUAACAUUGUCAAGCGACGAAAAAUUGUUGACUACACUGCCCAAAUAACCCAGUCUGUACCCACCAUUUUACCUGUAACCCACAAACAAGCACAAAAAUUACCAUAUUGGAGAGAUGCUAUGCAGGCUGAGUAUGAUGCACUAAUAAAAAACCAGACUUGGGAGUUGGUUCCACCGAACCACACCAGAAAUGUUGUUCCUUGCAAAUGGCUAUUUCGAAUCAAAACAAAGCUUGAUGGCUCCAUUGAUAGGUACAAAGCACUUUUGGUUGCAAAAGGGUUCACCCAAAUGCCUGGGGUUGAUUUUCAUAAAACAUACAGUCCAGUGGUUAAACCAACCACAAUUCGGACCGUUCUCACCGUCGCUUUACAAAAAAGUUGGCCCUUACAUCAAAUAGAUGUCAACAAUGCUUUUCUUCAAGGGAAGCUUCAGGAAGAUGUCUAUAUGACCCAACCACCCGGGUAUGAAAGUUCAGCACAUCCAGACUAUGUUUGUCAUCUCAAAAAGGCUAUCUACGGACUGCGACAAGCUCCUAAAGCUUGGUAUGAUGCACUCACUGAUUCUCUGAUCAGAAUGGGAUUCCGUAUGUCUGAAUCUGAUAAUUCUUUGUUUCUUCUGCAUAACUUAGGAGUAACUAUGUAUAUACUAAUAUAUGUGGACGACAUCAUACUCACGGGCAGCAAUGAAUCACUCCUUCAAGAAGUCAUUUCUUCUCUUUCCAAAAGAUUUUCUCUUAAGUAUCUUGGCUUACUGCACUAUUUCUUGGGCAUUGAGGUACACAGGGAUGCCAACAGUUUGUUUCUUAGCCAAUCUAAGUAUAUUCAAGAGGUAUUGCAUGACACUUAGAUGCAGGAUUGCAAAGGCGUUCAGUCCCUAAUGAGAACAUUUGAGGAGGCAGUACUGGUAGAUGACGGUGCCCCUAAAACUGAUGGCAAAGAGUAUAGGAGUGUACUUGGUAAACUUUAGUAACUUUCCUUUACCAAACCGGAUAUCACAUAUUCGGUAAACAAGCUUACAACUCUCCUUCCGUGGUUCAUUGGAAGGCCGUUAAACGCAUCCUUCGGUACCUCAAAGAAACAUCCCAGAAUGGUAUUCAUAUUUCUCCACAUCAGUCCACUGAUCUUUAUGCCUAUGCUGACGCUGAUUGGGCGGGUGAUAUUAAUGAUCGCCGCUCAAUCUCUGGUUACAUUGUUUUUCUAGGUACGACUCCUAUCUCCUGGUGUUCUCGCAAGCAACCUACCGUCUCCCGAUCCUCCACUGAGGCUGAGUAUAGGGCAGUUGCCUCUGCCUUGUCUGAAACAAACUGGAUCACUCACUUGCUCAGGGAUCUUCAUGUGCCACUCUCUGUUGCACCUACAGUACUUUGUGAUAACCUUGGGGUCACAUACAUUGCUGAAAACCCGAUACAUCAUACAAAAAUGAAGCACCUUGAGGUCGAUCUUCACUUUGUUCGCAAUCAAGUUCGGAAUGGCCUAGUCCGAGUAUCACACAUCCACUCCACUGAUCAAGUUGCAGAUCCACUCACCAAACCAUUGUCUAAGCUAGCCUUCCAGCGGAUGCUACCCAAGUUAGGUGUUGUCUCGUCACAACUAACUUGAGGGGGGCAUAAUGGAGCACGUAUUCCUGAUUGAUAACUGAUUGAUAACUGAGAUGUGGAAGAUCAGUUUAGUGAUCUAGUUUCUGUUUAGGAGAAGAUCACAAUUCUUUAUUAGUUGAUUCUUUCCUUAUUUGUUUUGUGUUCUCUUGCAUAUAUACACAUACAUUUCAAUGAAAUCAAAACAACUUCAUCUUCAUUCUCUACACUUAUAAUAACCCAGAUCACCUAGCUCAUGACAAUUUUCCAUUUGUUUGUCAGUUUUGUUAUACAAAAACAAAUCCAAGUGGCACAAAUUUUCUUUUCUUUAUAUUGAGAAAGAGUCUGUGAGCACAAACUAAGCCAACAGAAAAGUUUCUCUAGUAUUUUGAUAGUCAUCUUAUGAUUAAAUUGGGCUACCUUGAUAGUCAAAGUUGUCUAGAGACUAUUUUAACUUUUUUGAUAACCGACUUUUUUAGAUUUGUUAAUUAGGUUGUCCAAAUUCACCUAUCAAUGAAUUUAUGUCCAACCCGAGCAAUCCAAACUUGUACAGGUUGCGCUGACUCAUUUAUCUGUUCUACAUUUGACACCCAGAAAGCCGUAGUUUGUCUUAAUAGUCUGGAUUCAAAGGAAGUGGAAUGAAUACUGAAAAUUCUUAUUGCUUGCUGAACUAGUUUGGAAUUGAGCUGUAGUUUAAUUCUUGAGUUGUUUUAACUUAUUCUAUGUUAUGUAAGUACUUGGACUACCAAGGGCUCAUUUGGUAUUGAAUUCAAGGAUAAAUGAAUCCUUAAAUUUUUUCGCAAUAUUGCAAGCAAUUUGAAUGUUUUGCUGCAGCUAUUUCCAUAUUCAUUUCACUUGGAAAAGAUGUUUCUUUUUUCGAACUGGCUCUGUAGGUUUGCACUCUUAGGAAACUCCUUUCAAAUAUGGUUUCACUUUUUUAUUUAAUCUCUUCUUUUGAUGUUGUUUCCCAAUUGCCGUCUCUAUUAAUGAAGAGGGUGGAACAAUGUAUUCAGUUCUCAAGUUUUCUGGUUUAUAUACUUCUGUUAUUCUUCUUACACUGCCUGUGACCACAUUGUAUCUGAUAUCUUUAUGCAGUCUGUGGGGAACACUUCUAGCAGAUGUUGUCAUUCAAAUGCUUGGAACUGAUUAUGCUAGAAUCGUGCGAGCUAUUUAUGCAUUCGCACAGGUAAUGUGCUAUCAUGCUUGAAUCUUCAAAGAUAGGAGUGGAGCUCUUCCAAAAUGGGGGAAGAGGUUGUAAGAUUAAUUUUUCUUCGAUUAUUCUGAUUAGAGAUUUGUUGUUUGUUUAAGAUAAAUGUGACAUUUACCUCUAGUUUUAUAGGCCCUAACUGAACUUAAAUUAGUAUCGGAAUGAGAUGGGCUGAAUAGAGUAGAAUUUAUAUGGAGGAUUUAUAUAGCUAACUCCAGCUAGUUUGAGAACAAGGUGUAAUUGAUUGUUUGAUGGAAGAAAAAAAAUAGGGCAGCCCGGUUCACUAAAGUUCCCGCUAUGUGUAGGGUCCGGGGAUCGUUUGAUGGAAGGAUUUUCAAAAUAAGUUCAAUACAAGUUAGUAAUAUUAAAUUAGCAACAUUGUAAAACUUAAUGCUAAAUAAGUUGAACUAAGAAUUAAAGGACUUUAUCGUUCUCAUUUUGGUUACGUAACUUUAAGGUUAUUUUUGAAAAAAGAAGAAGAAAAUAUUAAGUCUUUCUACCGUAGCAAAUCAUAUCUUUCAUCUUUUGAAGUGUGCUAGUCACAUGAAUAGUAGUUAGUCUUUUGGAGUUAAUUGUAUCAUCUUCCAUAUAGAUUAUUGUUGUUGUUGUGAUUCAUGUACUCCCAAGCAUAAAGUUUCCACUGCCCUGUUCAAAUCCCCAUGAUCUUUGUUUUUUUGUUUCUUUUCUUCUUAAGUGCUUAUAUUAGUUGGCCCUUAAAUUUUACGUUAUCUUCCUUGAAAAAGCUGGAAAGUUAUUUGUGGAGGUUGCUGGUGCAGUAGUGGAUAUAAGCUUAUGAAUGAAAUUUGAUUGUAACCUUGAAUGAUCCUCUGAAUGUUUUUCCUGCUUAACUAUGUCUUGAUAAGUUUUUAAAGCAACCUUGUGUAUCAUUUGCUUCAGAUUCGGAUCACCCGCACCUACAAAACAUCUGAUGUCCAGUAAGAAAGCUUAUCUGUAGAUUGGACUCUAAAGUUGCAUUGUGGACAUCACACGCUGGGAUAAUAUUAGACUGUUGGCUUUGGAUAUGGUUCUACACUUGUGCAUAGCAGAUAUACGAAAGAACGUUUCUUGCAGUGGUGAGAUGGGCUUGCGCUUCACUGUACAUAUGUUAGGUUGUACAGUAAGCUUCUUUACUAAUUUAAGAUAGAUACGAGCCUCCUAUACCAUGUAUUUUUCUAAACUAUUUAGAUUAGUUAGAAGAAAAUUUGUUGCAGGUUGCUGUAAUUAUAAAGUGUUGAUGUUGCUGAAUUUUGUUAACUUGAUUGUUCUGUUCUAUGUAGUUUGUGAAAUAAGGAUAGUCCAGGUUCCUGCAAGCCGGUCUGGACACUGCAUUUUUACGGUCUGGACACUACUUUGCGGUAUGUGCUGAAAUUGUAGUUUUUCGUCGUUCCAAUUAAAUGUCCGAACCUUUACUUCAUCUUCCUGUUGCACCUCUCUGUUACUGUAGUUUCUCCUUGCCGUAUAUCCAGUUUUAUGUGACCUGCAUAGGUUCAAAGUUCUAACUGCGCUAGAAAGAUAGCAUGCCACCAUUUGGAAACUGAAAUCAUAUUUUUUUAGCUCAUUGCAAGGGCAAAAUGUGUGGAAAGGCGAAUGGAAAAGAAAAAGAAACAUAAAUACAGUACUAAUUGUCUACCCCAAAUUAGAUGAUACAUAAAAUGAGUUCUUUUUCAUUAUACGAUACAAUGAGAACAUGCAACCAGGUGCCAUAACACAUAGUUGGGGUUUAAUUUGACACACCUAAGGUGUAUGACAAUUAUUCAGAUGAUGAUGAUGAGAAAAGAUAUAGCAGGAGAAUUAUGUAAAUUAUUCUAUGCCACUGGACUUGGGGACCUCAGAUCUCUCCAUCCCAAAUUUCAUCCACAGAUUUGUAAGGCCCGUUUGGAUGAAUAAACAUCUCUCCAUUAUAUCCCUUUCUCUGUGGUAUGUCUCGAAUCCUGAUUUUAUCUUCAGUGCUAAGUUCCCAAUCAAAUACUUCAAGGUUUUGUUUCAUCCUCUCCUUGUUAAAGCUCUUUACUAUCACACUUGCCCCUUGCUCAUAUAUCCAUCUUAAUGCCACCUACCAAUAUUUGCAACUUCAGUUUCCUCAUCAAAAGUACAUAAAAUAAAUCACGGUAAGACAAAAAAAUUCUUCUUAUAUUAGGGAGGGCAUGUGCUUUGAAGAAAUAUAUAUGGAAUUCCAAAUGAAAAAAUCAUGGAAUUUAUGAUGCAAUAUUAUAUACACUGGAACUUCCGCAAUAAAUGCAAAUCCUGGUAUCAUUUGAGAAAACAAACUUUUGUUGCACCCCAAAAAUGAAAAAUAGCUUGGUAAUGUAAGAAUUAGAACAAGACAAGUUUAUCUAUAAACUUAUAAACUAAAAUAUGCUAAUAAUUGAAAAGUUCUUUAUAUCAUUUGUGCAUAUGAGUUGAAUCCAUUAUUCAUUAAUCACUACAAGGAUUAGGAAAAAAACCUGAGGGAUGGUCUUUUGUUUAGAAGUUGCGAUGUCAUUGAUUAUUGGGCUAUUCCAAGAGGCACCAUUGGAUCCCAAUGGAGAGUAUGCGCUUACAUGAACACCUUUCUCUUUACAAAACUCUAGCAGUUUUUGUUGCUGCCAUGCCACAUUCAUUUCUACCUGAAAUGAAAAAAGCAAGAAAAAAACAUAUAGUGACUUCUAUAGUUAAGAGUUCAGAUAAUGUAGGAACAUGGAUAAAUUUAGAAGUUCAGAUAAUAUAGUCAUACUAACCUGAUUAACUGCCGGAGGAAUGGUAGCAAUUUGAAGGAGCUGUGAGAGCUUUGUGCAACUGAAAUUGCUGACUCCAAUAGACUUGGCUAGGCCCAAAUUACAGCACUCCUCCAUGGCUUUCCAUACCCCUUUCAUAUCAAAAGGGACAACGUCUUCCUUUUUGAAAUUGAAGAAAUCAACCGGCCCGGGUUUCAUGCUUAUCGGCCAGUGUAUUAGAUACAAGUCCGCGAAAUCUAGCCCCAAUUUCCUGCAUAUAUAAACUCAUAUAAGGUUAAACCAUAAAGUACUACAUAAGAGUUUGAGAAGGUCAAGAGUAAAUAAAAAGGGGGCUGAGAUGGCCUUAGAUUCGAAAGUCAUGUCAGAGAUUACUAGACGUCUAGGAGAGACUUUCAACAAGGAUGUCGAGACAUAAACAAUGCAUGCAAUUGCACCUCCUCAAAUCUUCAAGGGGAGUACUAUAAACAAUGGAUUCUCCUCUGUGUUUGUUGUUAAGAGAUGGAGAUCAAUAAUUUCGAGUUUACGAGUUUCCGGAGCUGACUAGAAGUCUAUGUACAGUUUUUGUCAAGUCCUGUAGCUUUAGUUCAAAUCCUAUAUUUGUAUUACGAAAUCACUAAAUAUGUAGACAAAUUAAAUUCAGAACCUAAUUAUUAGUACCUUAAGAAUCCAUGAUGUUCAAAAUUGGCUUAGCUGACUCAUGAUUUAUGAAUUCUAGAAAUUGUAGCCUUACUGAGUUCUAGAUAAAUUUAUACAUAUUCGUUAGAUUUAUUAACACGUACAAGGUCCUGAUCAAAGUUAGUAAGUUUUGUUGAACCUACAACUAGAACUGAUCUAGCUCAUGUUGUUAAUCUAUUGAAAAAAAAACACAAAUGAAAGCAUAGUACUAUUAGUACCCAAGUGUGCUUUUGAGGGCAGGAAGGACAAGUUGAGGGUGGGCAUCGUUGCACCAUAACUUAGACGUAAUGAACACUUCUUGUCGACUCUUUAUAAUGCCCCGUUCGAUUGCUUCCGCCACUGCCCUGCCAAGUGCCUCCUCCGAGUCAUAAAGCGCGGCAGUAUCAAAAUGUCGAUAUCCUGUCUCAAUGGCGUCAACCAAAAUAGAUGUGAACUCAUCUGUCCGCGGGAUGGGAUACGUUGCAGUUCCCAUGCCUAACACAGGCAUCUUGUAGCCUGAGUUCAGUACAAUUUCUGGUACGUGCACUACUUCCAUCAUCUACAAAAUCGCGAUGCUAAAAAUCCAACAAUUCUGAAGAAAUCACACUUACGAUUGUGUUUAAAAACAGAGAAGCAGUGAAGGAAGUUGUGAAGAUCUUGUUGAUGAUCCUUGUUGAGUUUCCAAAUGUGUAAAGACUAAUUUGAAAUGAGAACAUAUAUGUGACACUAUUAAUGCCACGACUCUUUUAAAGGUCAAACUUAAUGAAUAUAACAAGCAAAAUGCAUGGAACAAACUGAAAGAAGAAAAUUGUCACAUUCAUUAAGAAAAUAUUAAUAAAAUAAUAUUUUAUAAAAUUAAUUUUAUUAAUAAUUUUUUGACAUUUUAAAUCUAACUAUUACCAUUUCUUUAAUUGUCUAAUAACAGGCUAAUAUGAAAAUGAAGUAAUAAAAAUAUUCUUAAUUUAUGAAAAAAAAUAAAUUUAAACAAAUAUUUUUAGAAAUAAAAUCACAUCAUACUUUGCCAUUUGCUAUCACUUUUUCUUUCAUUCACAUUUACCAUCAUCAGGUGGAGGUGGUACGGAGUGAGAAAGGAUCAAUUGGGGAGGGUGUGAUGGCAAAUGGUAGGGUCACCACUAUAUAUGUCAAAGAUGGAUAGCUUCACACAAAUAUGACGUGGUGCUUCUCUCCCACCGAUAAAAAAUAUUAAUUUGUUAUAUACAUCGAAAUGCAUAUAAAUUUUUACCCCUCUAAUCCACUAGCUGAUUUAAAGUAUUUGUUAUUUUAAAAAAUCAAAAUAUAAUGGAUUAUUUGUUUCUAUUUUUAUCUUUACUCAAUAAAUGCACGGAGAGAGAGAUUAAUGUCUUGAAAAGGAAAGUAAUUUAAAAUUAUUUUUCAUAAGUUAAUUUAACUAAGUUUCAAAUUAAAAUUAUAUUAAAUUAAUUUAAUUUUUUAAAAUUAUAUUUAAAUAUUUAAAAACAAUGUGAAAAAUAUUUUAACUUGUAUUUUUUUUUUCAAAUUAAUUAAGAAAUAUAUCUUAAAAUAUUAAUUAAAAUUUGUACCGUUUGACUUUAAAAAUAGAAAAAGAGCAAUUAAAGAAAAAGGAAAUUAUGAAAGAGUAAAUAAGAGCAAUUUAGUCGAAAUUAUCCUUUUAGCUAAAAUGUUUUCUCAAGAAAGGUCCAAAAGAAAAACAUGAGAAAUAAAAAAUAAAAAGAAGCAGAGGGAGUAAAAGUAUACAAGGUGUAAAUGAAGAGACGUGAUGAAUGCUACUACUACUUUAGUUUGUAGAAUUCAAUCACAUUUUUCGUUUGAUUUUCUGUUUCUUCUUGUAUUUUGUGACGGCAUAAGAGACGUGAGAGACGCUAUCUCUAAUUCGGUCACGUCGAUGAAUCUCCCCACACACUUUUCUUCGAAUAUUUGUUUUGGUUAUUAUGUCAUAAAGGUAUCGCCAAACGCAUCGAUAUAUCCUUCAACUUGAUAUUAUUUUUCACUUUAACAUCUUAAAUAAAUGUUGUUUACUUUUGAUACCUUAAUUAAUCAUAAACUGUAUCAUUUUAACACCUUUUGCUGAUUCAGCAAAUAGAUUCGCUUUUGAGCGCGUGUCAUUUUAACACCUUUUUCUUUACGCCAUUUUGAUCUAACUAAUUAAUCAAUAAAUCAUUUAUUCAAGCGAUUGAGUUGAUUUAGUUAGUACUUCUAAAUUUAUUUUGUAAGGUGUAUGUAAAUAAAGGGAAAAAAAUGCUAGACAUUUUGAGCUAAUAGUACCGCUAUUUUCUUUUGUUGAUUAAUUUUAUAAUCGAACACAGACCUCCUUCUCCUCCAUUUUUUGAUUAAGUUGAUUAUAACAAAAUAAAAUGUUGUUUUUAACAUUUUAAAAUGCAAAAAUGGUUGCACCCCAAAAAUGGUUUUGUUAGAAUCGUUGGUAUAAGAUACGUAUCAUUGGAGGCUUGAUCAGGCUUUACCUGACCAACUACCUAAUACUUUACGGACUCAUCAAAACAAUGUUUUUUCUUAGCUUUCAUCAGGACUUGACAAGUUUAAACCGGUACCAUGUUAAAGAUUAGAAAGAGAAGCAUGAUACAUUGAUAAUAUGAGGGACUUCAUAUUAUCAAAAUCAAAAAGAUAAUUGCAAGAAACCAUUACGUUCAUGGAAAAUGAGAUUGGUAAUGUAAGAAUUAAAACAAGACUAAGUUUAUACUUUAUCUAUUACUUAUAAAUCCAUUAUUCAUUAAUCACUACCAAGGAUUAGGAAAAAGACCUGAGGGCUGGUUCUUUGUUUAGAAGUUGCGAUGUCAUUGAUGAUUGGGCUAUUCCAAGAGGCACCAUUGGAUCCCAAUGGAGAGUAUGCGCUUACAUGAACACCUUUCUCUUUACAAAACUCUAGCAGUUUUUGUUGCUGCCAUGCCACAUUCAUUUCUACCUGAAACGAAAAAAGCAAGAAAAAAACAUAUAGUGACUUCUAUAGUUAGAGUUCAGAUAAUGUAGGAACAUGGAUAAAUUUAGAAGUUCAGAUGAUAUAGUCAUACUAACUUGAUUAACUGCCGGAGGAAUGGUAGCAAUUUGAAGGAGCUGUGAGAGCUUUGUGCAACUGAAAUUGCUGACUCCAUAGACUUAGCCAGACCUAACUUGCAGCACACACUACCAGAAAUUAGAUCUAUGGUGACGGUUGCAAAACCGUUGCCAUAGACCUAUCGCAACGGUUCGGCAAGAGUCCCAUAGGCGGGCGUUGCGAGUUGCGAUAGGUCUAUUGCAACGGUUUCUGCGACGGUUGUCUAAACCGUCGCCAUAGGUCGAGCUAUGGUGACGGUUUCUGACAACCGUCGCCAUAGAUGGACCUAUUGCGACGGUUAUUUUUUGACUUAUUGAGACGCCUAUUUGCAUCUAUUGCAACGGUUACGAACCAUUGCAGUAGCAUCUAUUCCGACGCUUUUGUUAUUCUGUUGCAACGCUUUUUGACUACCUAUUACAACUAUUUCAUUACUUAUUGGAACGCCUAUUUUCAUCUAUUGCAACAGUUGCGAACCGUUGCAAUAGAUUCUAUGGCAACGACAUUGAACCGUUGCAAUAGCAUCUAUUGCGACAACAUUAAACCGUUGCAAUAGCAUCUAUUGCGAUGCUUUUGUUAUUUUGUUGCAACGCUUUUUGACUACCUAUUGCAAUGGUUUAUUGAUCUAUUGCAACAAUGAUUGCCACAUGUUAUUAAAUUGAAACGAUUUAUAUAAAUAGUCGUAUUAAUAUAAAUUUUUAUUUACAUACAUAAUAAAUUAUAACACAAUAUAUAAUCACAAAAUAAAAUCAUUUAUUAAUAAUCUCAUAAUUUAAAAUAUGCAACAAGCUAGCAAUUUAAAUUCAAAAGUAAAAUGUAAUCAAGUCCAAAUGAUUAGUUAAGUUUUUACAUACUAGCAAGUUCAAGUCGCAAUAAGUUUCAAAAAAUUCAACACAAAACUAUUGAUAUUAGAGCAUUUACCCACAACCCAAAAAUCUUCUCAAGUAAGGUCAAUGUCUUCGUCAUUUUCUUUAUCUCUUUCUUCAUUUUGGACACCUAUAAAAAGAGAAUAAAUAAUAUAAAUUAGCACUUAAAUGACAACAUAAAAAGAACUAUUCCACAACAAAAUAAGUACAUAAACCACAUAUAGUUAUUUUCUUUUUGUUAGCUAUUUUGUAAUACCACUCUGGAAUCUCCCUUUUCUAUUCUCCUUUUGUUCUUUGUUACCGAAAUUGAUGAACAAUUUGGUUAUUAGUUGCUUGUAUUGAUCAAUACAACAGUUAGUUUGUUACAGCUCCCUUCAACAGGAUCAACUACUGCCGGAAGAGAAAUACUCAAACUUAAAAGAGUGAGCAAAAACUCAGUUGGGAAGGAGUUCCAGCCUUGAGAAACACUGGGUUCACGAAAUGACCUCAGAAUUAGCAGCCAGUCCAGCCUUAACUAUAUCAAACUUAGACUCCCUAAACUUUGUAAUAACUUCAAUACUCUUCGUCAAAUUCUCUAUAGCAGUAUUAUCAUACAAUUUAGAGCCAUGUCCAGGCAUUCCAACAGCCUUAAUCACCAUAUGCCAAGGUGUCCUAUCAGCAUAGAACACUCUAAACUAAUUAUUAGUCGAAGCCUGUCCAUCCAUCAUAAACCCAACAUUUAACUCUUCAAAUUCUUUCAACUCCACAACCUUCUUCAUCCCAUCAAAUCCACCAACCUCUUCAUCAGGUACAUACACAAUGUGAACAUUUCUCAAAGGUACAAAAUCUAGACCAGCGCUUUGAAUCUGGAUGGCUCAUUGAAUCCGAUGUUUAAGUGAAAAUUAAUUGAUCGUUACUUCAGACUAUAACUUAUUAGUAUCAAGAACAAGGAUCAGUAUAAGCAACACGAGUUUCUUCAUUUCUUACACUAAGAGCAUCAUGACUUUCUUUUUAUUCUUAGUACAGAACAAAAAUAACAAAAUUACAGCUAUCAGACUAUACAAGAUUUGAUACUAUAGUCUAUAGGAUACCUAUCGUUUUCAUGUUAUUUAUAUAUCGUCCUUCCCAAAGACUAUUAAUAUGGACUUGAACUUUACUACUAAAUGAGUGAGGUGAUUAUUCUCUGUAGCAGGUACAGGAGCUGCAUCAAUGCUCAAAACUAUUGGCAAGUACGCUGGACAAAAAAGGUGACGUGCUCACUCUAACCUCAAAUAACUUGUUGAGGUAGUCAACCUCAAAAUACCAGGACACAAUACAAAACUACUAAUACCAAACUAUCACCAGCUAAUUAGCAGCAGGCACACACCAAAAGCAAGAGAAGUUCUACCAACAGACUGUUACUACCAACAGAUCAAGAAAUGGAAACUGACCUUGAUUGUUACUACCAACAAAUGGAUGGUUUAUUGGUUGAUUAGAAAGCGCUUCUCCUGAUGAAUGAACAUUGAAUCCUAGCAUAUUAGGAUCAAGUGUUAAUUCUGAAUUUAGACAUGAAGUUGUGCAAUGAUAUUCAUUGUAACUUCUCGCUCAAUGACAUCUCUUUGAGCAUUCAUUCUUUAUUGCAUCCUCUCUUUUAGCUCAUCCAAUCUCUUCUCCACCAGUUCAUCAGGUUUGAAGAGGAUGCAUAAUCACUUGCUUUCUGUUUCAAAAGAGUCUUGGUAACACCGCGUCCUAGUAGUCUUACUCGACUAGGAUGAUCAGACCCCAUAACUGUUGUGAAUGUAUCAGUUGAUUGAGUACCAUCUUUACUUUCUUGAGUUUCUACUCUCUCCAUUUCAACCUACACAUCGGAUUCAAGAGCAAGUAAAUUUAGUUGAUUCAAUAUUUAAGAAAACAAUGAUCUUGAUCAAUUUUGAAAUAGAAAAUUUCAUACUAUUUUGCUUGUAAUCUCUUUAGAUGUGUCCUUAUAUACUCGAUCAGAUUUCCUUCUUCUAGUAGCCAUAAAGAAUUCCUUAUUCGACAAAACACCUGAAUUUUCCUUCUUUUUUUCCUAGUUUCAUGCAAGUCAGCAUUAAAAUAUUAUCAAGUAAAUGGAACAAGUUCAUAGUAACAAUAAGAGAAAACACCACACCUCGCGGAUUAAAGCAAAACUUAUUUUGCCCAUAGUGUGCGAAUACUUAAAUGUUUUCUUGUUUUCUUUGUUAGUCUUGGAAGUAUCCUGCAAGUCAAUAUUUAUGUCGUCCUUCCCAAAAACUAUUAAUAUGGACUUGAACUUUACUACUAAAUGAGUGAGGUGAUUAUUCUCUGUAGCAGGUACAGGAGCUGCAUCAAUGCUCAAAACUAUUGGCAAGUACCCUGGACAAAAAAGGUGACGUGCUCACUCUAACCUCAAACGACUUGUUGAGGUAGUCAACCUCAAAAUACCAGGACACAAUACAAAACUACUAAUACCAAACUAUCACCAGCUAAUCAGCAGCAGGCACACACCAAAAGCAAGAGAAGUUCUACCAACAGAUUGUUACUACCAACAGAUCAAGCAAUGGAAACUGACCUUGAUUGUUACUACCAACAGAUGGAUGGUUUAUUGGUUGAUUAGAAAGCGCUUCUCCUGACGAAUGAACAUUGAAUCCUAGCAUAUUAGGAUCAAGUGUUAAUCCUGGAUUUAGACAUGAAGUUGUGCAAUGAUAUUCAUUGUAACUUCUCGCUCAAUGACAUCUCUUUGAGCAUUCAUUCUUUAUUGCAUCCUCUCUUUUAGCUCAUCCAAUCUCUUCUCCACCAGUUUAUCAGGUUUGAAGAGGAUCCAUAAUCACUUGCUUUCUGUUUCAAAAGAGUCUUGGUAACACCGCGUCCUAGUAGUCUUACUCGACCAGGAUGAUCAGACCCCAUAACUGUUGUGAAUGCAUCAAUUGAUUGAGUACCAUCUUCACUUUCUUGAUUUUCUACUCUCUCCAUUUCAACCUACACAUCGGAUUCAAGAGCAAGUAAAUUUAGUUGAUUCAAUAUUUAAGAAAACAAUGAUCUUGAUCAAUUUUGAAAUAGAAAAUUUCAUACUAUUUUGCUUGUAAUCUCUUCAGAUGUGUCCUUAUAUACUCGAUCAGAUUUCCUUCUUCUAGUAGCCAUAAAGAAUUCCUUAUUCGACAAAACACCUGAAUUUUCCUUCUUUUUUUCCUAGUUUCAUGUAAGUCAGCAUUAAAAUAUUAUCAAGUAAAUGCAACAAGUUCAUAGUAACAAUAAGAGAAAACACCACACCUCGCGGAUUAAAGCAAAACUUAUUUUGCCCAUAGUGUGCGAAUACUUAAAUAUUUUCCUGUUUUCUUUGUUAGUCUUGGAAGUAUCCUGCAAGUCAAUAUUUAUGAGUUUUUAAUAAAAAGAUCGAGACAGUGAAGGUUUAAACACACAGAAUUUGAUGCCUUAUAUCGAAAGAAAGAACAACAUAAAAAGGAAGAGCAGGUGUGAUAAAUUCAAUAAUAAAUGCAUGCUAACAAUAAUAUAAUAGUUGUCCAUAUUGAUAUCAUACCUCAGCUUCUUCGGAAUGCCAAUACUUAAGGAGAUCCUCAAAUACAGGUUCUGGAAUAGAGGUAGGCCUUUUUGCCCUUCGAAUUUCAUCAUUGGUGUAGGCAUAAAAAUGACGGUUCUUGAGUCUGGACUUAUGACCUCUAAACGCAGCAUCAAUUGAUCUCAUUGCCCAAUUUUUUCCGUUGUUGGAAACCUCAUAUUUCUCCUAUAAUUUGGUUGAAUUGGGUUAGUGUAAAAACUGUGAAAGGCAUUCAACUAGAAAUCAAAAUACUGAGAACUUAGAACCUGAAUAUAGCUCCACAUAUCAUCGUGUGUCUUCAACUUUGUCCAACUGAGAUUAAGAGGACAAAAUUCUCCAUUCCUUGCUAAUGUGCCAAGAAAGCUGGAAAAUUCAGUGACUACUGCUUUAGUUGGACCAAUAGGCUGGUUCAACCUAUUUAGCACUAUCAAUUGACGGUCAGUUCGUCCAUGUACUGCUUGCAUUUGUGUAACGCCUCUUUUUCUUUUAUUAGUUGAAGGGCCUACAAUAAUAUCAACAACAAAAUUACUGAAAUGCAGAUAAUUUUUGAAAUAGUAUGAACUAAAAUAUAUAUAUAUAUAUAUUUUUGCCUUCUCCGGAUUGUUCAUUUGCUUGUAAAUUAGGAAGUUGUGAUUGAUCUUGUUGCACUCGUUCAACUGUGGGUUGUGAUGGACGAAUGGUGGAGUCUGGCAAUUUUUGUCGCACUUGCUCCUCUACUGGUGCUGCGAGAGAGGUGGAAUCCAGAGACACCUGUUGCACUUGUUCUGAUACUUGAGAUAUAACUGGCACCUAUUGCACUUGUUCUUACUUGAGAUAUACGUGGAAUAUUGUUUGACUUCUCCUUCUGCUUUUGAUUCUUUUUCUUUGCAUUUAUGUAGCCUGUGUUCUUCUUCUUCUUCUUCUGAAUCAGAAGUCAACGGUCUCUUCAAGAACUAAAAAGGAAUCAAAGCUACAACAAAAUCCCCAAAAAUCAGUAACAUCUACAACAAAAUCCCCAAAAAUCAGUAACAUCUAAUUCGACCAACUACCACAGGCUCUUUUGAAAGAAGAAAAAGGAAUAAGGUGAGAACUUACUGAUACAAUAAGCGUCGUUUAGUUACAGCUACAACAAAAUCCCCAAAAAUCCCAAAGAGUUACAGCAAAAUCUUCAAAAUUCGUCGUCGGCCGAUCUCCCACAGCGUUACACAGAUCUCCUUCCACAGAACCUUUAGCGAUUAGGGCAAUCCUCGAUGAAAGUCCACAGAACGUAACCUUUAAUGAUUUAGAGAAAGCGUUUGUGAUAACAAUUUAGAGAAAAAGUUUGUGAUAACGAUUUAGUGAUUUUGGAAUCGUUUAAGCUUAAGAUUUAGAGAAAAAGCUUUAUUAGAAUGUUUUUGUUUUGACGGACUUAGUAAGAUAUUUCGUGAAAGUGGAGGGAAAAAAAUAAGCGUUGCUAUAACUUAUUUUAUUUAUCUAUUGCAACGCUUUGUUAACCGUCGCCAAAAAGUUCGUUGCCAUAGGAGUAAUUUCCAAUAGUGCUCUUCCAUGGCUUUCCAUACCCCUUUCAUAUCAAAAGGGACAACGUCUUCCUUUUUGACCUUGAGGAUAUCAACCGGCCCAGGUUUCUUGCUUGUCGGCCAAUGUAUUACAUACAAGUCCACGAAAUCUAGCCCCAAUUUCCUGCGUAAUCUCAUAUAUGGUUAAACCAUAAAGUACCUACUAUAUAAGAGUUUGAGAAGGCCAAGAGUAAAUAAAAAUUGUGGUGAGACGAUAGCCUCAGCUUCGAAAAUCAAGUUAGAGAUUACUAGACGUGUAGGAGACUUUCAUCAAGGAUGUCGAAGCAUAGAAAUGCAUGCAAUUACACCUCCUCAAAUCUUCAAUGAGUACUAUAAACAAUGGAUUCUCCUCUGUGUUUGUUGCUAAGAGAUGGAGAUCAAUAAUUUCUAGUUUAUGAGUUUUAGGAGCUGAGCUAGAAGUCGAUGUACAGGUUUGGUCAAGCCCUGCAUAGUUCAAAUCCUGUAUUUGUAACAAGUAGACAAAUAAUUCAGAAAUAUGCAGAUAAAUUAAAUUCAAAACCUAAUAAUUAACUUAAAUUAAGUACCUUAAGAAUCCAUGAAGUUUAAAACUGGCUUAGCUGACUCUCAUGAUUUAUGAUUUCUAGAAAAGGUAGCUUUACUGAGUUCUAGAUGACUUUAUAUAUUUUCAGUAGAUUUAUUAAUGCAAAUACAAAAUAAAUUUUUGAUCAGAGUUGGUUAGUUCUGUAGAAUCUGCAACUAAAACUGAUCUAGCUCCUGUUGUUAACGUUGAGCUACAACUGGAGCUAGGCUGUCAUAACAAUUUAAAAAGGAAAAAAAAUCAUAAUCUAUUGAAACAAAAAUGAAAAUAUAGUAUUAUUAGUACCCAAGUGUGUUUUUGAGGGCAGGGAGAACAAUUUGAGGGUGGGCAUCGUUGCACCAUAACUUAGAAGUAAUGAACACUUGUUGUCGAUUCUUUAUAUGCCCCGUUCUAUUGCUUCCGCCACUGCCCUGCCAAGUGCCUCCUCUGAGCCAUAAAGCGCGGCAGUGUCAAAAUGGCGGUAUCCUGCCUCAAUGGCGUCAACCAAAAUAGAUGGUAACUCAUCUAGCCGCGGCAUGGGAUACGUCGCAGUUCCCAUGCCUAACACAGGCAUCUUGUAGCCUGAGUUCAGUACAACUUCCGGUACGUGUACUACUUCCUCCAUCUAUAAAAUCGCGAUGCUAAUAGUCCACAAUUAUGAAGAAAUUACGCUUAUAAUUUGUUAUGAAAACAGUAGUAGUGAAGAUCUUAUUGAUGAUCGUUGUUGAGUUUCCAAAUGUGUAAAGACUAAUUUGAAAUGAGAACAUAUAUGUGACACUAUUAAUGCCACGACUCUUUUAAGGGUCAAACUUAAUGAAUAUAUAGCAAACAAAAUACAUGGAACAAACUAAAAGAAGAAUACGUUACUCCCUUCCUUUCAUUUUAUUUGACCUUAAUUUGACACUCUUUUAAUGGUCAAACUUAAUAAAUAUGGCAAAGAGAAUAUAUAGAACAAAUUAAAAGAAGAAAAAGUUACUCCCUUCCUUCCAUUUUAUUUCACCUUAAUUUGGCCCUCUUUUAAUGAUCAAACUUAAUAAAUAUAACAAACAAAACACAUUGAACAAACUAAAAGAAGAAAAAGUUACUCCCUUCCUUCCAUUUUAUUUGAUCCUUCUUAAUUUGACACAUUUAUUAAGAAAAUACUAAUAAAAGCAUAUUUUUAUAAAAUUAAUUUUAUUAAUAACUUUUUAACAUUUUAAAUCUUAGUUAUUUAAUAUCGAGGAUAAUAUAAAAGAAAAAUAAUAACAGUCUUUAAUUUUGGGAAAUAACAAAUUUGAAAGGCUAAAUACAUAUACAGACCCCUCAGCUAUUCGACUUUUCCCGCUUAGGCACCUCAAUUAGGCCAAGUACCUAUUGAACACUUACUUCUUCACAAAAACGUUUCAAUUGAGCACAAUUGCUGACGUGACGCUGACAUAUCGUGACAUGUGAAAUACACUCUCCUACUAGAGAGUGUGAAGCCAUAAUUAAUUGUAAUUUCAUUUUUAAAAUUUUUUUUUUUCCAUAUCAGCAACAAUAUAAUUUUCCAUUACAUUGAACCUUUUUUAAUUUCUUUAAAAUUAUAUUGUAGUUUUUCCAUUUCAAAAUUAAAAAAUUACAUUCAAUUUCAAAAUUAAAAAAAUUAUAUUGAACACCUUAUUUAAUUUCCAUUAAAAUUACAUUUUUUUUAUUUUUUUAUUUUACAAAGCAAAUUCAUCAUUGCAACAUUAAAAUUACAUUGUAAUUUCUUUAAGAAGCCAUAAACUGAAAUUACAUUGAACUUUUUUUUUUUCAAUUUCGUUUUUCCAACACUGCAACAAAUGAGCCAUAAACUGAAAUUACAUUGAACAUUUUUUUUUUCAACAAGUUUCUUAAAAAAAAUNNNNNNNNNNNNAAAGAGUGUUUGGAAGUGCAACAUCAAAACAGUGCAACACUGAAAUUACAUAAACGAUUUUUUUUUUUCAAUUUCUUUUUUCCAACACUGCAACAAAUGAGUUUUUUUGCCGGAAAAAUAAUGUACGAACACUGCAACACCAUCAACUGUAGACACGUAAUUUUGUCCCCCUUAAAAAUUCGUUUUUAUUCAUUUCUACCUUAGCAUAUUAUGUACCCUCCCCACGUGAUUACACCCCACAAAAAAUACAAAAAAAUAACUCUCAACAAAAUCCCUAACAAACUUUUAUUCUUUUAACACCCUAACAACCCUCUCCAAUAAAAAAAAAUAAUAAAUCACCAUCUCACCACCUCAUAUCCUACUCCUUACCCCUACCCCACGUCACACCCCCCUCUCUUUUUUUCUUAUUCAAAAAGAAAGGACUCAAAAUACAAUAUAUACAUACCCACAUACACAAAAAAAAAAGAAAACAAAAAAAAAUGGAUGAACAGUAAAGUCAUCAGCUUUUUCUCUCUCUACACUCUACUCUCUACUCUCUCUCUCCAAAAACUGAAAAGAAAAAGGCCUCCGUUCGCCGCCUCUCCGUCGUCACCGUCAGCCGUCCAUCGGUCACCUCUCCAACUUCCGAUCUCUCUUCUCUCUCCGGCAAAGCUGCCGUCCGUCAACCCUCCCUCCGUUCGCCGGCGAAACAGUCACUGCAGGCGAACACCGUUCGCCGGCCAGGGACCCAAACCGACCGCCGCCUUCUCUCGGAUGUGAUCUCUCUUCUCCUCCGGCGAACUAGCGUCGGCCGUGAUCUCUCUUCUUCUCCGCCUUCCAGAUCUGUCUCGUCACCGCCUAGAUCUGCCGCCGCCGUCACCAACAAAACCCCCAUCGUCGCCGGAGAAGAAAGCCAAGUCAGCUGCUGCUCCGCCGCCAGUAGUCGCUGCUCCAGCCGCGGCGCGUCGGCCAGCUCCGACCGCAGCUCGUCCCUUCGACUCCGACGAGAUUUUGCGUAUGGGUCUUCUCGAUUUUUCAUAAUUUCAGUCUCGGUUCAUCUGGUAUUUCUUAUUUCUUCGUGCAAGGAUAGUUGAAAAUCAUUGAUUUGGGGUUUCGAAUUUGAGAUCUUGGUUUGUUUAUGAGUUUUAUUCGGGCUUAUGGAUUAUUCAUCGUGAGAUUUUGUCAUGGUUUUCCGAUCUGUCCGGUUGAAUUCAAUAUCGAGUUUGGAGUUGUUCGUUGUGAGGUUCUCCGAUCGAGUAUUUUGGUUUUCGAAUUUCUUUAUUAUCGACAAGGAUUAGUUUCAUCGAGGUCCAUUUCUUCUAACCGAAUCUUUAAUUUAUUUUGACUUGUUAUUGAUGUUGUGGGUAUGGAUGAUUUAUUUGUUUGUGUUCGGUUUGAAUCUUCGUUGUUUGUGUUGUGUUUGAUGUUGGUUUCGGAUUAUAAGAUGUGGUUGGAAAAUCGAAGCAUGCACUAAUCAUGUGGUUUAAAGGGGAUUUAGGGCACGAGUUAAAAAUUAUUAAAGUGAAUUAGGAUUAAUUUUGAUUUGUGGUUGUUUUGAUUCGUCGUUAUUGUUACUUUCACGUCUAAUUAUCAAUUUUGUGAUAGUAUCAUGAUAAGUCAAGCGGGUAGGCAAUCGAAGGUUCGGGUAGGCAAAAUUUAGGAAUAAGUGUUUCGUUGGAUGUUGGAAUGUGCGUGUGAAUGUUUCUUUCUAGUUUAUCGUGUUUUAUUUAGAUGUAUUUAUUUAGCCGGGGAAUGCCUCGAGAUCACUUGUAUUUAUUCACCGGGGAAUGUCCCGACGUAUCAUGUUGGAGGAAAAUGAUCGUGAUAAAGGCCCGCGGCGUCGGAUAAGGCAUUGGAGCUUAGUCUAGAUUAGUUUAGGCUAGGAUUUAUAUUUUUGUAUUUUUUUAUUUUUCGGACUGUAUAAUUGGACUGGACUUUACAUUUUUGGACUUUUUGUUUUGUUUAUUGUUUGAUUAUUUUGCGUUCUUUUGUGUGGUUUAUACAUUUCAUAAUGUCAAAAAUAGUCGAUACACUCUACCAAGUGACCGUGGUUGAACCACGGGAUCGAGGGGGGCCUAACACUUUCCCCUCGGUCAACAGAAUUCCUUAGCCGGAAUCUCUGUCCGCAAACUAGUUUAAGAGUCAAAUGGUUUCGAAAAGGAUUUCCCAAAGGUGACUUGGCACACCGGAGUAAGCCAAGUGGCGACUCUGAAUAAAAAAUGUAAAUAAUCCUUUUUUCGAAAUAAAUUUUCAUUUCUUGUCACUUAAAUAAUAAAACCCUUUCGAACUUUAAAAUAUAAACGUUUUUUGGAGUAUGCGUAAAAAAGGGGUGUGACAGCUUCUGGCGACUCUGCUGGGGACCUUCUAUGACAAGUUUUCAGAAUUUGAGCUAUUUUUGGAGUCGUAUCGGCUUUGUUUGGCAUUACGAGUGUAUAAGCAUUGUUUGUGAUUUUGUUUGUGUUAUUGUUUUCACUUUUGUGCGUUUUUGUGCUCUUUGUUUAUAGUAUUUAUCCUAUGUGUCACCGCUUUAUAUCUGUCAUCAUGAGUCCACCCCCAGCCUUCUUUCUGCAACAAGUCUAUAGUACACGUGUUGUACACAACCUCUAGUUGAGUCACCCUUAUUUUAGGGGGGGAGCCGUCGGUGUUAUGGAGUAGGUGGAAAACAAAACAUCCACUAUCGACCAUACGCUCCCCCGAACGGCCUUGUUAGUAAAGCACAACGUAGGUCAGCCUUUAGGUCAUGCUUAUGUGCAUCAUACGGAGACCUAGCGGGACCCACAUUACCCUUUGUAGAAGACUCCCCUGUAAAGCAUCCCUACGUGCUAACUGUUGCAUUUUUAAGGGUAACGUGGUCAUUUGACGGACUGAUUUUGAAAAGAAAAAAAAUUGUUUGGAGUAAGGUGCGUAGGUAAAAACGAAAAAGAAAAAAAAAUAAUAGAAAAAGUGAGUCGAAAAGAAUGAAAAAAAAAAGGAGGAAUGUCGUAGUUUAUUUUAGAUUUCUUUAUGACUUUUGUUCUUCACGAUCCAAAAACUCAAAAAGAUUAUUUUUACGUUUUACAUUUGUCUUCUUAAAGUUCCGUAAAUUCAAAAAAAAAAAAAGAAAAAAAGAAAAAAAAAGAAAAAAAAAAAAGAGUUUUGUUUGUCUUUUCUACUUAAUUGUCAAAAAACAAAAAAAAAUACCAAAAAGAUUUUUCUGUAUAAUUGGCGGUGUCAGUCUUGGUUAAAGCGUGUAGUUGAAAAUCCCCCCCAAAAAAAAGUUUUAUUCGUUUAUUUUUGAUUGUGUCUCUUAAGUUAGGAUCAAUUUGUUAGUUAAUCGUUAAUUGUUCAAUCUGACGAACUACGCACCCCUGAUUCUCCUCUUUCGGGAGUGAGAUACGUAGGCAGCCUAUUGUUGGUUCGGGGAUCUUAUUUGAAAAAAUCAAAAAAAAAUAUUUCUUCACUCUCCAUUUAGAGUAGGCGUUUCAUAUACGUCUUUAAAAGAAAACUACAAAAAGAUUUUUCUUUAAUAGGUUUAAGUUUCCUUUUCAUAGGAAAUUCAAAAUUGAAAACCCCAAAAGAUUUUUCUUUGGUAAUCAUAGGUUUCGUUUUGUAUAGGUAUUUUAAAAGUAAAAAAAUGCAAAAGAUGUUCGUCAAUUAUUUUGACAAAUUGUUAUUUUUCUUUUCUUCUUAAAGUUUCAAAAUAAAAAAAAAGUUUAAUUGGCCAUUUUGGCAAAACUGCCCGAACUACGCAAGAUCUGAUUCAUGUACACAUGAUACGUAGGCAACCAACUUUUGGGUUCAAUCUAAUCAUUUUGUUUUGUUGUUUUUCAUUAUUUUCCUCUUUUAAAGAAAAACAAAAGCCAUAAAGAAUGAUAAAAUAAAGGUAGAUAACGAGAGAAAAGAAAAGAGCAGGGAUUGAUACGAAAAAAAAAGAGAAGAAAAAAAAAGAGAGAGGAAAAAAAAAUAAUAAUAAGUGUAGAUAAAAAAUAGUGUAGACAAAAAUCAGGAUGAUGUUAAAAUGAUCUCGCUACCCUCAAAAGUUGGUAGAAAUGAGCAUGAAUUUAGGAUAAUUUUACCAAUGUGAUUCCCAUGAUUGUUGUGUGCCCUAAUCCUAAUGGAUGUCGUCUUUGAUGAGCGUGUUCUUUCAGAUAACAAUGGUAGGUUUGCAGCACUCUGGCUAGUCACCCAUACUUCAUCAGAUCCAAAGCAAAGCUCGCCAUGGCUAGCAGAGAGAUUGGAAAUUCGCUCAUUGACCCAGAUCAGGAUCACAGGGAAGAAAGUUCUGAACACAAUGAUGAGGUAGUAAGGCUCAGGCAACAAUUGAUAGAUUUACACCGGGCAUGGGCCAGCGGAAUGCCUCCUCCUCCGCUCCCUNNNNNNNNNNNNNNNNNNNNNNNNNNNNNNNNNNNNNNNNNNNNNNNNNNNNNNNNNNNNNNNNNNNNNNNNNCACUCCGCAACAUUAUUAUCCUGGCAGUUCUAGUGUGCCCUUGGCAGCUCCCCAAUCGAGACCCGCUGCUCAGUCAGCGCCACCGAUCACACCGGUAUUCGUGGCUCCGCCACCAUAUGAAACUCCCAUAUAUGCUGCGCGUCCACAAUGAGGCUUCCUAGGUCUUCCAGUGAGCCAGUACUGAAGGUUUCAUAUGGUCAGUAUUAUGCCCCGAAGUCUACCUUGCAAAUGAAUGAACCGUAUGGGUACACUCAGCCGCCUACAUUUCCAUUUGAUACAGAGAAACCUGUCGCAGCAGAGGAACAUGAUAUCAUAGCCCAGAAACUGAAGAGUUUAGAGCAGGCUAUGAGAAAUCUGCAAGGGAUCGAAGAUUACAGGAGUGUUUCUUAUAAAGAUCUGUGCAUGUUCCUAGACAUCAAUCUUUCCCCCGAUUUUAAGAUACCUAAGUUCGAGAAGUAUGCAGGACACGGCGAUCCCGUGGCACAAUUAAGACGUUAUUGCAACCAGUUGAGGGCUGCAGGAGGAAAGGAAGAACUGCUCAUGGCUUUCUUUGGCGAGAGUCUUUCAGAUCUGGCCUCAGAAUGGUUUAUCGAUCGAGAUAUCGAUAAAUGGACCAGCUGGGAUGAUUUGGCCUCUGAAUUUGUUCAACAUUUUUUGUACAACAUUGACCUGAUUUCGGACGAAAAAUCUUUGGUCAACAUGAAGAAGAAGAGCACUGAAGGUUUUAGGGAAUACGCGAUAAGGUGCCGUGAACAGGCCGCCAGGGUAAAGCCUCCAAUGAAAGAAAGUAAGUUGGUAGAAGUUUUCAUUCAGGCGCAGGAUGAGACCUAUUUUCAACAUUUACUUCCGACAAUGGGAAAGUCUUUUUUGGAAGUCCUCAAAAUGGGGAGAUGAUAGAGGAUGGAAUUAAGACCGGCCGAAUAGUGAGUUUUGCCGUAUUAAAAGCCACCACACAAGCGAUUCAAGGUGGAUCUGGUGCAUUUGGAGGAAGAAAGAAGAAAGAGGACGUGGCGACUGUCAUAGCUGGAACCCAUUCCUAUCCCAAAAGACCACCUCGCCCCUAUUCCUAAUCCCAAGCCCAAGUCUACACCCAAGCUCCAUAUAUUUCUCCUCACCAUUACUACCCUCCACAAAACCCUUUAUAUUACAUUCCACCACCACCUUACCCAGUAUAUAGCGCGCAGCCAUAUGCCCAAACCCCUUCUUACCCGCAAUGGCGCGCGCAAGCUCCACAAAAUCGUCCAUUCGCUCCACCAAAUUACCCAAACCCCUCCAGAACCAGUUUUCAGCCUAGGCCCGAGUAUAAGAAGGAGAAGGCGGUCAAAAAUCAAUUCACACCUCUUAGGGAGUCGUAUGCUAGCUUGUUUGAUAGGUUGAUAAAGUUGAAGGUUUUAAGCCCAAUUCAAGGAAGGCUUUCAAAUCCACCGCCGAGGAAUCUCAAUUAUUCUUUAAGGUGUGCGUAUUGUUCUGAUAUGCCAGGCCAUGAUAUCGAGAAAUGCUGGUAUUUAAAGAGNNNNNNNNNNNNNNNNNNNNNNNNNNNNNNNNNNNNNNNNNNNNNNNNNNNNNNNNNNNNNNNNNNNNNNNNNNNNNNNNNNNNNNNNNNNNNNNNNNNNNNNNNNNNNNNNNNNNNNNNNNNNNNNNNNNNNNNNNNNNNNNNNNNNNNUACACACCACUGAAGAGAAAUCGGUGAAUAUAGCGGAGUCUUUGAAAGCAAUGUCAUUGAACCAGAAAGGAAUGAGAGAAGAUAAAGCCCAAGAAAGCACAAAGAAACCCCUGAUCACAGUACACGGCGCCAGAAGGCACGUUGAUUCAAGUCAGGAUAAACCCAAGUUGACAGUGGUGGGAGCUCUGAGUCAGCCCAUCUUGACGGUGAAAGGAGCACUGGCAGCACCUAUUAUCCUCAAACCGGUGACCCAACCUUUAGUUGAUACGAAAAGGAUUCCUUGGAACUAUGGGCGGAAUGUGAUGACCUAUUAUGGGAAAGAAGUUGUGGAAGAUGUAGAUGAGGUAGGAGGUUUGACUAGGUCAGGAAGAUGCUUCGUGCCUGAAAGCUGAAAAAAGUCCCAGCCAACGAUGAGUGGACCGUCACCUAUCAAAAAGCCUAUUACCGAAGAAGAAGCCGAAGAAUUUUUGAAAAAGAUGAAAUUGCCAGAGUAUUCAAUAUUAGACCAGUGGAAGAAAACCCCUGCUCAAAUUUUUCUUUUAUCUUUGCUCUUGCACUCCAAGGAGCAUUGUGAUGUUUUAUUGAAGGUGUUAAAUGAAGCAUAUGUCCCGAGGGAGAUUACAAUCAACCAACUUAAGAAAAUGGUUGGAAAAAUCUUUGAGGUCAAUCGGAUCAGCUUUUCUGAUGAUGAAUUGCCUGUUGAAGGUACAGGGCAUAACCGGGGCCUUUACAUUACAGUGAAGUGUGAAGAUUUCUACGUCACUCAUAUUAUGAUUGAUGGAGGUUCAGGUGCAAAUAUAGCAAAUAACGUAGAGGAGACAUUCGUCUAUCAGAUUUUUGAUACAGUGCCAGUGAGUCGUAUCCUUGAAUGGCAGGCUAUACCGGGUCUGCAAUUGUCUUCUGCUUCUAUCAUGAUGGUUAGUGAACUUUGGAAAUACGAAUUUGAGCCAGGAAAAGGUUUGGGAGCAUCUCUGCACGAUAUAGUUCAUCCUAUAUGUCCGAGUGAGAAUGUGGGCACGUUUGGUUUGGGAUUUGAGCCUACGGCUGAAGAUCUGAAGAAAUCCAAGGGAAGGAAAAAUGAAACAUGGUCACUCCCUCGCCCAAUGCCACUACUCAGUGAAUCAUUUGUUAAGAGCGGUAUCACGAAGCAUGUGGAAUUUGAGGUUGAAUUGGUCGAUGACUUCCAGAGCCUUUGUAUUGAAGUUGAUAUGGUCUAAGCAGGAGAAGGUACCAGUAUGGCAGACGUACAAUUCAUAGGCCCAGCUGUCCGGCUCAAUAAUUGGGAAGUCACUUCUCUCCCCGUCAGGAGGGAGUUUUGGUAGUUUAUUUUAUUUUUCUUUCUGUUUAUUCGAGUUAUUUCAGGGUUGUAAGUAUUAAAAUUAAAGACGAAAUCAUGAAAUAACUUGAAGCCAAAGUAAUUCGAGUGGCUCGCUAUCCCAUGUGGUUGUCCAAUGUUGUUCCCGUACCAAAGAAAGAUGGCAAAAUUCGAGUGUGUGUUGAUUACCGUGAUUUGAACAGAGCCAGUCCGAAAGAUGAUUUUCCACUGCCCAACAUUCAUAUUUUGUUAUACAACUGUGCUAAAAACGAGGUUGCCUCUUUUGUGGGUUGCUAUGCCGGAUAUCACCAGAUCAUUAUGGAUGAUGAAGACGCGAAGAAGACAUCUUUUAUCACACCAUAGGGGACUUAUUGUUAUCGAGUGAUGCCAUUUGGUUUGAAGAAUGCUGGAGCAACAUACAUGAGAGCCAUGACCACUAUGUUUCAUGACAUGGUGCAUAAGGAGAUUGAAGUCUACGUGGAUGAUGUGAUUAUUAAGUUAAAAAGUUAGGCCGACCAUGUUAAUAAUUUAAGAAAGUUCUUUGAAAGGCUUCGCAGGUAUAAUCUCAAAUUCAACCCGAUAAAAUGUGUAUUUGGAGUUCCAUCUGGAAAGAUUAUCUUGCUGAGAAUCCCAUCGAUGAAGAGUACGAGCCAUUAAAGACAUAUUUUCCUGACGAAGAAGUGUCGUGUGUCGAUGAAGUCGUUAUAGAUGCUGAUUCAGGUUGGAGGUUAUUUUUUGAUGGAGCUGUCAAUAUGAAAGGAGUCGGAAUAGAUGCGGUUCUUAUCUCUGAAUCGAGACAAGAUUUUCCGGUAACAGCACAACUUCGAUUCUACCGUACUAACAAUAUGGCAGAGUAUGAAGCCUGCAUUCUUGGUUUGAGGUUAGCUGUUGAUAUGAGAGUUCAAGAAUUAUUGGUGUUGGGAGAUUCAGAUUUGCUCGUCUAUCAAAUUCAAGGUGAUUGGAAGACGCGAGAUUUGAAGCUCAUCCCGUAUCGACAAUGCUUGCAGGAGCUAUGUCAACGGUUUGUGUUAGUAAAAUUUAGGCAUAUUCUAACAAUUCAUAAUGAAAUUGCUGAUGCUUUAGCCACUUUGUCUUCAACUCUCCAACAUCCUGAUAAAGCCUACAUCGAUCCAGUGCAUAUACAGAGUCAUGAUCAGCAUGCUUGCUGUAAUGCGGUUGAAGAAGAGCUCGAUGGAGAACCUUGGUUCUUGGAUAUCAAGUGGUACAUUCAGUCAGGAGAAUACCCAGCAUAUGCCACCAACGAUCAAAAGAGGAUUAUUAGGCGUUUGGCUAGUGGAUUUUUCUUAAGUGGAGGAAUCUUGUAUAAGAGAACCCCAGAUCUCGGACUUUUGAGGUGUGUAGAUGCAAAAGAAGCCUCGGCAAUCAUGGUUGAAAUACACUNNNNNNNNNNNNNNNNNNNNNNNNNNNNNNNNNNNNNNNNNNNNNNNNNNNNNNNNNNNNNNNNNNNNNNNNNNNNNNNNNNNNNNNNNNNNNNNNNNNNNNNNNNNNNNNNNNNNNNNNNNNNNNNNNNNNNNNNNNNNNNNNNNNNNNNNNNNNNNNNNNNNNNNNNNNNNNNNNNNNNNNNNNNNNNNNNNNNNNNNNNNNNNNNNNNNNNNNNNNNNNNNNNNNNNNNNNNNNNNNNNNNNNNNNNNNNNNNNNNNNNNNNNNNNNNNNNNNNNNNNNNNNNNNNNNNNNNNNNNNNNNNNNNNNNNNNNNNNNNNNNNNNNNNNNNNNNNNNNNNNNNNNNNNNNNNNNNNNNNNNNNNNNNNNNNNNNNNNNNNNNNNNNNNNNNNNNNNNNNNNNNNNNNNNNNNNNNNNNNNNNNNNNNNNNNNNNNNNNNNNNNNNNNNNNNNNNNNNNNNNNNNNNNNNNNNNNNNNNNNNNNNNNNNNNNNNNNNNNNNNNNNNNNNNNNNNNNNNNNNNNNNNNNNNNNNNNNNNNNNNNNNNNNNNNNNNNNNNNNNNNNNNNNNNNNNNNNNNNNNNNNNNNNNNNNNNNNNNNNNNNNNNNNNNNNNNNNNNNNNNNNNNNNNNNNNNNNNNNNNNNNNNNNNNNNNNNNNNNNNNNNNNNNNNNNNNNNNNNNNNNNNNNNNNNNNNNNNNNNNNNNNNNNNNNNNNNNNNNNNNNNNNNNNNNNNNNNNNNNNNNNNNNNNNNNNNNNNNNNNNNNNNNNNNNNNNNNNNNNNNNNNNNNNNNNNNNNNNNNNNNNNNNNNNNNNNNNNNNNNNNNNNNNNNNNNNNNNNNNNNNNNNNNNNNNNNNNNNNNNNNNNNNNNNNNNNNNNNNNNNNNNNNNNNNNNNNNNNNNNNNNNNNNNNNNNNNNNNNNNNNNNNNNNNNNNNNNNNNNNNNNNNNNNNNNNNNNNNNNNNNNNNNNNNNNNNNNNNNNNNNNNNNNNNNNNNNNNNNNNNNNNNNNNNAGAUAUUGAAGGCAAAAUGGCAGAAAUGGCUAUCAAUGCUGAUGCGGUCAAAAGAUACUACGUAUGAUAUUUGAUCAUUUGUUGAUGUUAUUGCAUGUUUAGUACUUGCAUUUUGAAGAUUGAUAUGAUGAAGGCAUUUUAUUCUUCUAUCCAAACAUUGUGUCAUCCCUUGUUUACCCAUUUGAGUUUCGUUUUAUUUUUCUUUCAUGUCCCUCUUUUGGAAUAAAAAUAGAGUCAAAGAUAAAUAUCAAGAAAAUAAGAAUAAAAGGAAGAGUUCAGAAAUAAAUAAAUAAAAAAAAUAAAAAAAAAUCAAAAUCAAAUCAAAACAAAGAACAAGCUGAUGGAACUACGUCCGACCUGAUUCUCCUCUCUCGGGAGUGAGAUAGGUAGGCUGCCCUAUUUCGGGCUCGAUCCAACCAAAUAAAGAUCUAAGAUUCACCCAAUCAACAAAACUGGGGCAUGAGUUAAUGUGUUGCUUGAGUCGAUUCCAAUAGUUGUAAGUCCUACCCCUACUUCAAGUAUCGUUUGGGCCUCUUACCAUUUUUUCUAAACCUUAACCAAAAGCCAAGUUACAAACAAAGAAAGUCCUUCAGAUCAAUUUUUGAUAAUAUUAAGGCUAAGCAUGCAAUGGAUAUGAUGAUACAUUGUGAAGUACCAUUUGUCUCCCUCAGCAUGAGAAAUCAGGAAAAGAAAAUAAAAAUGAGAGAGUCUUAUUGGUGAAAACCCUCCCGGAGAGCAUAAGGCGAUGGUGAGUUGAGAGAAAAUGAAAAUGAGAGAGUCUUAUUGGUGAAAACCUUUGCAGGCACCAUAAGGCGAUGGAGAGUUGAGAGAAAAUAAAAAUGAGAGAGUUUUAUUGGUGAAAACCUUUGCAGGUACCAUAAGGCGAUGGUGAGUAGAGAGAAAUAAAAAUGAGAGAGUCUUAUUGGUGAAAACCUUUGCAGGCACCAUAAGGCGAUGGAGAGUUCAAGAGAAAAGUGAAAAAUGAGAAGAAAGAGAUUUGUUGGCGAAAGUCUUUUAAGAUGUCGUCAGUCGAAUGUGAUGUAUAAGUUCAAUGAAUUUGAAGAAGCGACUCAGCAGCAAAGGCAUGAACUCAACAACAAAUGGGGAGUUUGGAUUAGAAGAUCAUGCAAUUCAAUCCAAAAUGCAUGUCAUACUCAUUGGAGUUGGUUGUCGUAUUCAGAUAAGUUUUCUUUUUGAAUAUGGGACAUUGCCCUUUUCUUUCAUUUACGCAUUCAUGCUUUUGUCUUUUUAGAUCAUUUAUCAAAAUAACAGUCACCAUCAUUUCUUUACAUUUUGAGUCAAGUCUGUGUCAUAACAAGCGAGAAAAAAUUUCAAAAUUUACUACCAGUCUUUCCAAUUAUGUGAGGAAAAGCCAAGGAACAGAGGAAGUCUAUCAACCAACAGGCUACUGGAUUCGUAGAAAUAUUCGGAUUUGGGAAAAGAGUGCACCUCAAGGGCAUGGUAAAAUAGAAACCCAUUGUUCGAGUCAGAACUCAUUUCUCUCAAUCUGGAUCCAGGUCGAUGAUGCAGCAAGACAGGGCAGGUGUUAGCAAUUUAGAACAAAGAUGAAAGGAGUGAGUGCUGGGCAGAUACCUAAAAAGCCAAGAUCUGCAAGCCACCAUUAAGUUUUUAACUGACAAAUUUUCUUUGUUGAAACAGGGGUAAAUUUGGUUCACUUGAUUCAGCUACCAUUGGAAAUGCACAUCCGUGGGAUUUUACUUUCAAUUUAGGACCCUCUUGAAAAAUGGAAUUUUACUUUCUGUUAGGACCCUCCUGAAAAAUGGGAUUUUACUUUCUGUUCAGGACCCUCCUGAAAAAUGGGAUUUUACUUUAUGAUCAGGACCCUCCUGAAAAAUGGGAUUUUACUUUAUGUUCAGGACCCUCCUGAAAAAUGAGAUUUUACUUUAUGUUUAGGACCCUCCUGAAAAAUGGAAUUUUACUUUCUGUUCAGUGAUUUUUACUUUCAGUUCAGGACCCUCCUGAAAAAUUGGAACUUUACUUUCUGUUCAGGACCCUCCUGAAAAAUGGGACAACGCUUUCAAAAAUGAAAUACUACUUUACUAUAAUUUUGUUUGAGAUAAUUUUCUUUCUAGUUUUAAUUUUGGGUUUCAGGAGCCCGCUUGAAGAACAGGAUGAUGAAAUAACAAGUCAGGAGCCCGCCUGGAGAAUAGGGUGAAGAAACGAAAAGUCAAGCAAUAAAGUGAAGCAAUUGAAAGCCAAACAACAACAAGAAAGAAAUUGCAAGUCAGGAGCCCGUCUGAAGAAUAGGGUGAUGAAAGUCGAGUCUAGAGCCAAUAGAAGCUGUAUAGAUAGGAUUUUUGUAAUUUUCUUUAUGUUUUAACUUGUAAUUUUCAUUUUUGAUGUAAUAAUAGAGCCGCGGACCGGAACCUCGAUGGAACCUCACUCGACUCUCCAACUCGGUAUAGUCCAUUCCUCUUCCAAUCCUUUGAAAUACCCAUGACUUGAUUCUCUCAUAACUUGGUUGGGUAGGCUGUUCUAAUUCAAGACCCGAUAAUCCUUCUUCUUCUGUUUCUUCCUUUGAAUAAUGGUCGGGACAAAAUUCUGUCUCGUUGUCUACUUCUUUAUCUGAAAACACUGCGUGCUUACAUUCAAAGGGGGCAUGAUGUAGACACGUAAUUUUAUCCCCCUCAAAAGUUCAUUUUUAUUCAUUUCCACCUUAGCAUAUCAUGAACCCUCCCCCACGUGAUUACACCCCACAAAAAAUACAAAAAAAUAACUCUUAACAAAAUUCCUAACAAACUUUUAUUCUUUUAAUACCUUAACAACUCUCUCCAAUAAAAAAGUGACAAAUCACCACCUCACCACCCCAUACCCUACCCCUUACCCCUACCCCACGUCACCCCCCUCUCUUUUUUUCUUGUCCAAGAAGAAAAGACUCAAAAUACAAUAUAUACAUACCCACAUACACACAAAAGAGGAAAACAAAAAAAACGGAUGAACAGUAAAGUCAUCAGCUUUUUCUCUCUCUACACUCUACUCUCUCUCUCCAAAAACUAAAAAGAAAAAGGGCUCCGUUCGCCGCCUCUCCGUCGUCAUCGUCAGCCGUCCAUCGGUCACCGCUCCAACUCCCGAUCUCUCUCCUCUCUCCGGCAAAGCUGCCGUCCGUCAACCCUCCCUCCGUUAGCCGGCGAAACAGUCACCGCAGGCAAACACCGUUCGUCGGCUAGGGACCCGAACCGACCACCACCUUCUCUCAGUCGUGAUCUCUCUUCUCCUCCGGCGAACUAGCGCCGGCACCGCUCCGUUCUCCGCCUUCCAGAUCUGUCUCGUCACCGCCUAGAUCUGUCGCCGCCGUCACCAACAAAACCCCCAUUGCCGUCGGAGAAGAAAGCCAAGUCAGCUGCUGCUCCGCCGCCAGCAGUCGCUGCUCCGGCCGCGGCGCGUCGGCCAGCUCCAGCCGCAGCUCGUCCCUUCGACUCCGACGAGAUUUCGCGUAUGGGUCUUCUCGAUUUUUCAUAAUUUCAGUCUCGGUUCAUUUGGUAGUUUUGAAUUUGAGAUCUUGGUUUGUUUAUGAGUUUUAUUCGGGCUUAUGGAUUAUUCAUCGUGAGGUUUUGUUGUGGUUUUCCGAUCUGUCCGGUUGAAUUCAAUAUCGAGUUUGGAGUUGUUCGUUGUGAGGUUCUCCGAUCGAGUAUUUUGGUCUUUGGAUUUCUUUAUUAUCGACAAGGAUUAGUUUCAUCGAGGUCCAUUUCUUCUAACCGAAUCUUUAAUUUAUUUUGACUUGUUAUUGAUGUUGUGAGUGUGGAUGAUUUAUUACUGUGUGUUCGAUUUGAAUCUUCGUUGUUUGUGUUGUGUUUGAUGUUGGUUUCGGAUUAUGAGAUGUGAUUGGAAAAUCGAAGCAUGCACUAAUCAUGUGGUUUAAAGGGGAUUCAGGGCGCGAGUUAAAAAUUAUUAAAGUGAAUUAGGAUUAAUUUUGAUUUGUGGUUGUUUUGAUUCGUCGUUAUUGUUACUUUCACGUCUAAUUAUCAAUCUCGUGAUAGUAUCAUGAUAAGUCAAGCGGGUAGGCAAUCGUAGAUUCGGGCAGGCGAAAUUUAGGAAUAAGUGUUUCGUUGGAUGUUGGAAUGUGCGUGUGAAUGUUUCUUUCUAGUUUAUCGUGUUUAAUUCAGAUGUAUUUAUUUAGCCGGGGAAUGCUCCGAGAUCACUUGUAUUAUUCACCGGGGAAUGCCCCGACGUAUCAUGUUGGCGGAAAAUGAUCGUGAUGAAGGCCCGCGGCGUCGGAUAAGGCAUUGGAGCUUAGUCUAGAUUUAGUUUACGCUAGGAUUUAUAUUUUUGUAUUUUUCUAUUUUUCGGACUGUAUAAUUGGACUGGACUUUACGUUUUUGGACUGUUUUGUUUUGUUUAUUGUUUGAUUAUUUUGCGUUCUUUUGUGUAGUUUAUACAUUUCAUAAUGCCAAAAAUAGUCGAUAUACUCUACCAAGCUCGUGGUUGAACCACGGGAUCGAGGGGUGCCUAACACCUUCCCCUCGGUCAACAAAAUUCCUUAACCGGAAUCUCUAUCUGCAAAUCAGUUUAAGAGUCAAAUGGUUUCGAAAAGGAUUUUCCGAAGGUGACUUGGCAUACCGGAUUAUGCCAAGUGGCGACUCUGAAUAAAAAAUGUAAAUAAUCGUUUUUCCGAAACAAAUUUUCAUUUCUUGUCACUUAAAUAAUAAAAUCCUUUCGAACUUUAAAAUAUAAAUAUUUUUUGGAGUACGCGUAAAAAAGGGGUGUGACAUCAACAGUGCAACAUCAACACCACCGGAAAAAUUCUUGAUGCCAUCGCGUCAUUCCUCAAAUGUAAGAGAUCUUUUUCUUAAUUGUUGGGUGUUGUUUUGGUGGAAAAUGGAGGAGUAAAAGUGAAUUUUAAUGGUGGAAGAAUAGAGGAAGAAGAAGACAAAGAAAUGAAAUUUUCUUUUCAAAAAUGAAUUGUUAUUGUUGCUUGUUGUAUAUGAGUGUAAGUUGAAUUGGUACUUUUUUUCUUGGUUGUUGGUUGUUGUUUUGGUGUAAAAAUGAAAAUUGAAAGUGUGGUUUAAUAGUGGAAGAGUAGAGAUAAAGAAAUAAAAUUAUUUUUCUUUAUGGAGAAAGAAGUAUUUGGAAGGGAAGAAGA